AAAAAAAAGAAAAAAAGAGAAGAGAGAUUACAUACAUACUAUUCAGGUUUUUUUACUAUUUCUUCAGGAGAGUAGGAUAUUGAUUUUUAUUAAAAAUAAUAUGAAAAAUACCAAAUAUAUCCUAACCGUUAGAUAUAAUAGUGUUUAGAUCUGAACCGUUGAUUUAAUACAUACAAUAGGGCUUAUCACACCAGAUUAAAACCCAAACACAUCUCAGCCCUUGAAAUAAUCUAAGCUUUGAUCCCGUUGCGCCACGUCACCGGGUGUACCGCGAUUUCGGUGCACCGCGUCGCACCAGAUCCCACCUCUGUUCAUCCGGACCGUCCGAUCAACCUGCAGAUCGGGCCAAUCACAGCUGCACGAUCUUUCCAUCAGAGAUCCAACGGAUCACAGGCCUCAGCUGCACCGGUGUACCGUUCUAGCGUUCUCACCGUAGCGUAACCCAGAGCAUCUCUCUCCUCUCGCCGGCGACUCCCUCUCUCUCCUCCGAUCUCCCAUCUCCGGCCAUCGCAAGCUUCCAAACCACCACAUAAAGGUCUCUAUUCUCAUAUAAAGCAAAACCCCGGCUGGUUUCAGCGUUUUCUCCGCCCCAUUUGGCUGGAAAAGGGCCGCGAUCGUCGGCUGCCACCGAAGCUUCAAGUCGUCGAUUCUCGCUCAUCAGCCAUCAACGACCGUCAAGACCACCACCAUCAGAACCCUCGACAUCAGAUCUACCAGGAUCGACCAUCGGUUGGACAGAAAUCGCGCCGGAAAAUCUCGCCGCCGCCAACAGUAACCGCGCGUGUGCUACACGCGCCGCCAGUGGCAUUUUCGGAAUUUUUCAAGAAACCCGAGGGUAUUUCAGUCUUUUACCUAUACAGUGGCACUCAUGUAAUUUUUUGGGGUUUCUACUGGUAUUUUUGAUAUUUUUUAUAUAUAUAAAUGCUUGUAAAUUUUCUUACAUGUUGUACAAAAUACAAAAACCAAAGUCGACACGUCUCUUUUUUUAAAAGGACCGAUGUCAAAAAUGUAAAUACCAAAUAUGGAUUAUGUCCAUUAUUUCUUUUGGUAACCCAGACGUAAUUCUCCUUUUUAGGGACAAACGUCAAUAUUUUAGACGAGUCUCCUAAUUUUUAGGGACUGAUGUCAUUUUUAACGUGUCUCCUAUUUUUAGGGACCGACGUUAACCAUUUAAAAAAAACAAAUUACCAAUAAACCCAAAAUAUAAUGGAUUAUAUCCAUUAUUUCUUUUGGUAACUCAGACGAGUCUCCAAUUUUUAGGGACUGAUGUCAUUUUUAACGUGUCUCCUAUUUUUAGGGACCGACGUUAAUCAUUUACAAAAAUUUACAAAUAAGCCCAAAAUAUAAUCGCAUUUGAAUCAAAUAAAAACACACAAGUAAGGGUAACCUUUCUUUUGAAAUGAUGUUUUAAGGGUGGUGUCUACCUUCCCUUAAUCAUAACUAACCCCGUACCCGAAUCUCUGGGACCAGUGUCUAAUUUGGGAUUUCUAGUUCCCUCAAAUUACUAGAUGGCGACUCCAAUAAAAUCUUUGUUUCCCCCAAUCGAGAAAAAACCCUUUUUGUUAAAUAAACAAAAAAAGCGGGAGCCAUCGCCCGACGUCGUGUAUCGACAUCAAUCAUCAUAAGCUCCUCCUUCAUUGCAGCCAUCCAAUGUUGAUUUGCAACAGCUUCUUUGUAUCCUGCAGGUUCAAUUAAUGCCAUAUUGCAAUUCUGAUAGAUAUCAGAAAGUAAUCUGAUUUUUAUAACAGAUUCAUCGUCAACAUCAGCAUUCUCCUCUUGAAAUUCAAGCUUAUUUUUCUCCCAGUUCCAGCUUUCUGACUCAAAGAAUUGGAUAUUUCUGCUAACAAUCACUUUGUUGUCUUGUGGAAGAUAAAUCAUGUAGGCUUUGGAGACUAAGCUGUAGCCUACAAAGAUUUCAGGUUCUGCCUUUUUAUCAAGUUUGUCUCUUUUGACCUGUGGAAUGUAAGAGAAGCAAAGACAACCGAAAGUUUUAAAAUUUUGCAACUUUGGUUUAUAGCCAUACCAUGCCUCAAAUGUAGUUUUCUGUUGCAGAGCUUUUGUUGGCAAUCUGUUCAAAAGAAAUACUGUUGUAUUUGCAGCCUCAGCCCAUAAAUUCUUUGGCAAUCCUUUGUCAUGUAAUAAACAUCUUGUCAUCUCCAUGAGUGUUCUGUUUUUUCUCUCAACAACCCUAUUUUGCUGAGGGGUAUAAGGUAAUGUCAGCUGAUGUUCAAUGCCUUCCUUUUCACAGAACUUGUUGAAUUUUUCUGAUGUAUAUUUUGUUCCAUUGUUUGAUUGACCACCUGCAUUUUGUGUGUGCUUUGUUUUUCCACCCAAGCUUUGAACUUCCAGAAGAUGUCAGCAACUUCAGAUUUAUACUUCAUGAAAUAAAUCCAGCACAUUCUUGUAUGAUCAUUAAUGAAAGUGAUGUAAUACUUACUGCCGUUUAAUGAUGAUAUUUUCAGAGGUCCUCCCACAUCAGUGUGCACUAGCUUAGUUUCUGUGUAGCUCUCCAGCUUUUAUUGUGUGGAAAUGGGAGUCUUGUCUGCUUCCCAUACUAACAGGCUGCACAUAAUGGAAGAUCUUCUUCUAAAUCAGGUAGGCCUUUCACAAGAUUGUUCUUCUUCAUAAAGAGUAGAGCUGUAUGAUGAAAAUGCCCCAAUCUUCUAUGCCAAAGCAUUGUACUGCUAUUUUCUUCAUGUACUGCAGCUUGUUCUUCUUCUGUAAAAUUCAAAGCAAAGCUUUUACUUUGCAUCUGAAUUUUAAAUACUUCCUUGUUUUGUGCAUCAGUAAUCAAGCAAAACUUGUCUUCAAACAGCACCUUAUAUCCUUUCUCAAGCAACUGACCAACACUCAAAAGAUUUUGAUUAAUUUCAGGAACAUAUAAGACAUCGGAAAUUAAUUUUAAACCUGUGUUGCCUUUGAUUGCCACUGUUCCUUUACCCUUUACUGCAAGACAUGCCCCGUUUCCAAUUCUCACUUUAGAAAUGGCUGUUCUGUCAAGCUUUUUAAAAAGCUCUUUAUCAUAGGUCAUGUGGCUGGUACAACCACUGUCUAUAAGCCAGCUCUCUGUUGAGUGAUUGGCAACAAAACAUGAUGCUAUAAAUAGUUGUUCUUCUUCAGGUUGUUCAACCACAGUCUUGACUUCUCCUUGUUGCUGCUGUUCUUGUUGAGAUUUGCAUACCCUUCCAAUAUGUCCUAGCUGACCACACUUGUGAUAUUUUAUAUCCGGCCUCCACCAGCAUCUGCUCUGUAGAUAGUUGGAUUUUUUGCAGUAAGAACACAAUGGAAAUGUUGUGUUGCUGCUGCUGUAAUUUUUGUUUCUUUGUUGCAUGUUGUUAUGUGAUUUUGCAAAAAAAGCACCUUCCACAGAACCUGCUUGUCUCAUGAGUCUUCUUUGUUCUUGAGCUUGUAGUGCAUUCAAUAGCUCUGCCAAAGUGAUGCUUGAUACAUCCUUUGAAUUUUCUAUUGAUGAUAUUGUAGUUUCAAAUUUUUCAGGAACAGUAACAAGAAUUUUUUGAACAAUUGUAGAAUCAGUGAAUUCAGUACCAAGAAGUCUUACUUUGUUUACAAUAUCAAGAAGUCUGUCAGAGUAAUCCUUGAUGGUUUCUGAUUCAUUCAUUCUUUGCAUCUCAAAUUCUCUAAUGAGAUUUAAAACUUGCAUGCCCUUCACUCGUUCAUUCCCUUCAUAUUCCUUUUUGAGAAAGUUCCAUAUCUCAUUUGCUGUCUUCAGAGUCAUGAUUCUGGUGAAGAUUGAAGAUGAGACAGCUGCAAAUAAGCUAGCUUUUGCCUUUGAUUUCUUUUGCUUACUCUCCUUGUGAUUUUUCAUUUGAGCUAUAGUUGGAUUGUCAAGCAAAAGAAGAACCUCAUAUGUGUUUUCAACAGCUUCCCACUGAUCAUUUGCAUCAAGGUAAGCUUCCAUUCGAACAGCCCACACUUGAUAGUUUGUUCCAUCAAAUACUGGUGGUGCCAUCAAAUUCACGGAGGCUUCUGAACUCAUUUUGUGUUGAUUGGUUUUUUAGGAGAAUGGUAAGUGUUUAGGGUAAGUGUUUAAGCUCUCUCAGUCUCACAGAUCUCUCAAGGAAAAAAUAAGCUCCGAUACCAAUGUGUUGGAUUUUAACAGAAUGAAAAUGCAAAAGAGAACAAAUAUCGACUUCUUGUUUAACUUCAUUGUUUUAUUGAUCAUGCAGGCUUAAUGAAAAACAUUGAAAAGUAAAGCUUUAAAGGGAAGUAACAUCAACAUUAUCUCCUGCUGUUACAUAACAGAAUUCAAAGGAUAAUGACUAAACAAAAGGAUUAUAUCAAUCCUAACAGAAAUUGACAAAUUCAAAUAGCUAGUGUUUUAUUAAAACUAAAACUCAUAUCAGCUUCCACAUCAGUUGUUUCUUCAUUAACAGCUUCUUCAUCAUCAGCUUCUGAGACAUGAAUUCAACACCGGCUCUCGAGGUUGCCGACGUGAGAAUUUUCAAGUCUUUCCAACCAGCCAAAAAUGCCACGAAUAAUCUUCUUUGGGUGUGUGUUCAUGCAUUCCAUCCUUUUGUCUAGGCAGCUUUGAUAUUUGAUUUAUUCUUUGCCUGUCCUACGCCACAUGUUCUUGAGAUAGGCUUGGACAAUUUAAAUUCUAUCUUCCUAGUCAUCUUGGGGGGUUCUCACGAGUUCCAUCUUGUUGCUUAAACACUAUUCUUGUCCCAAAAGUUAAUUUCCCAGUUGCAAGUUGAUCUUAACUAUCAAGAUCCCAUUGCCUCCACGAUUUGUUUGUUUUUGUUGUUCUUGUUCUUUUCUAUGAUUGUUGAGGCUCAAAGUGUAGACUUCAUCUUCAAUGGAUUCAAUGAAAGUGAAAAAAACCUCUCAAUUGAUGGAGCUUCUAUUAUCAAGCCUACUGGUUUACUAAGGCUCACUAACAAAACAAGAGAUGCUAUAGGGCAUGCAUUUUAUUCCAAACCAAUACAGAUGCUUGACACAAGUUCAAAUUCAUCUCCAAAUGCUUCAUCUUUCAGCACAACCUUUGUCUUUCAGAUAGUCUCUCCAAAAGGAAAAGGAGGCUUCGGCUUUGCUUUCGCCUUAGCUCCCUCCAAACAGCUUCCCGGGGCUGCCGCGGAGCAUUACCUUGGUCUUUUCAACCCUUCAAAUGAUGGUGAUAGCUCAAACCAUAUUUUUGCUGUUAAAUUUGACACGGUUAAUGGGUUCAACGAGAAUUCAGACACUGAAGGAAAUCAUGUCGGAGUCAACAUUAACAAUUUAAGUUGUGACUCAAGGGAUGGCCCUUUGUCCAGUAUUUUAAUAAUCAUAACAAUUGCUUCUGUCUUUUGCCAGAAUUUUAUGUUGAAUUGGAAGUCACACUGAAAAUAAAAUAUAUAUAUAUGACCAAAUCAUAAAUAGAAUAAUAUUUUAUUGAGUAAAAUGCAAUAGUUCCUGGUCUAAAAUACUGAAAAAUAAAUUUAUAUUGGUUUGGGAAAACACAAAUUUUCAAUAGUUUUUCUUUAUGAAGUUUUCAUUUUUCAAAAAAGAAAGCGUAAAAUGAUCAAUAAUGAAAUUUUAAUAUGUAUACAUGCAAGGUUGUUAAAAUCAAAAAUUAACUAAUAAAAUCAUAUGAUUUUACAAGUUAACAUAUAUAUAAUAUAUAAAAGCAAGUUAAAAGCUUAAAAACUUGCAAACUCAAUCAAACUCGGUCCAAUUAAUAAACUCGGAUUGAGUUUACGAGUUUACCAAAAGCAAAAAAAUUAAUUGACUUCCCUUAUAAAAUAAGGAUCUGGGCUCUCAAGUAAUGAUGUAAUAUUCAUUCCUCUUCCUCAUGCACGGGUUUUUGCUUCUUUUUCUCUGCAAUGAUCGAUCAGCAUCAUUCUUGCCACUUUCUUUCUCCGACAAGUUUACUCUGCACUUAAAUUGUUGCGCCCAACUGUUGUUCAGCUAAAGGGUGAAUAAAAAAAAUCAAAAAACAGAUUAAAUUAAAAAAACUAAAAAAAAUAACAGAAAAAACCGAACCAUGAAAAAAACCGAUUAAACCGAUUAGAAUUUUUAAAAACUGACCGGUUUGGUUUUGGUUUUAUAAGCCUGAAACCGAAAAAACAGAACCGAAUCCAAACCGAAAAAAAACUGAAAAAAACCGAGCCAAACAAAAAAACAGAGUUAAACUGAAAAAACCGAGUCAAAUUAAAAAAACCGGUUUUUGUUCUAAAAUAACCGAACCGAAACCGGUCGGUUUGAAACAGUUUCGGUUCGAUUUUGGUUUUUUUUAAAAAAAAACUGGUUUAGUUAUUUUUUUUUGAUAAAAAUCAAACCGAACUAAAAAUAAUCACUCCUGGUUUAGCUGUUGUGUUGCCGUGAAAACUAGCAAAAACCAGAGUUCUAAUAUCAAAUGUCUAGAUUCCAGGACAAAACUAUGUCUUUUGCAAGAGGAGAGGGACUGGAAUGUAAGUUGUUGCAUACAAUUUCUGCACUUCUAGAACGCUUCUCAACGCCCAAAAUCACCUAAUAGAUAUUCAAUAACCAUAAAUAUUUUACCUUAUCCCAACCCCUUUUUCUAAUGAAAUAUUCAUUAAUUACUUUUUUCGAGCUAAAAUUAGUCAUCAAACUAAUCCACAAAACGAACACUCCUAGAAACUAAUUCAUUACUUUUUCUAAUGAAAUAUUCAUUACUUUGAGAUGUGUAGCACUAAUUAGUAAGUUAUAGCAUAAUUUUUAGAUUAGGUAAACGUUUUUGUAUACAAGAGAGGAAAAUAAUGGAGAUAGACAAGACAUGUCUCCAUGAACUUCUAUUUCAAAAGAAUAAAUUCAUACCUAAAUUAUCCUAGAAAUAUAUAUUUAGUCUUUUAAUAAGUGAUUAUACAAUUUGAGGGUCUCAAAUCAAACACAUACCUAAAGCUUCAUGUUUGUGUAUUCUGCAUGCUGAUAAUGUUUUCCCUUUUCCUUUGCAUUCUAAUCAUGGAGUGCACAUUAUUUAAUGCGUCUGAUAUGUGUGCACUAGCUACUCUUUGGGUGUAUUUGGCAACGUGAUGUUGAUUGUAUUCUUAAAAAUUUUAAAUUUGAUUUUUUAUUAAAAAUUAAAUUUUUAAUAUUUUAAAAUCGUUUUGAUAUGCUGAUAUCAAAAAUGGCUUGUAAAAAUAAAAAAUUAUUUUGAUGUAUUUCUAAGUGAAAAGUAAUUUGAACUGUCACCACUACUAUAAUUGGCAAAGUGAUGUAAACCAUAUUCUAAAAAAAUUAGAAUUUUGUUUUUUACUUCAAAUGAUUUUUUUUAUGUUUUAAAAUCGUUUUGUUGUGCUGAUGUUAAAAAUAAUUUUAAAAAAUAAAAUAAAAUUAUUUUAAUAUAUUUCUAAGAGAAAUAUAUUUUAAACCGUCACUGCUACCACAAUUCGAAACAGUCUCUUUAAGGCUAUGUUGUGCUUUUUAAAAUUUUAUUUUUAUUUUAAAAUUAAUUAUUGUGAGUAUUUUUGAAUUUUUGGAGUUAUUAGAAAUAAAUUUUUAAAAAUAAUAAAAAAAUUAUUUUAAAACAAUUUGAAAUAAAAAAGCAUUUUUAACAGUGUGUCAACAAUUGUUACAAUAGUAUUCAUUGUUUGUUUUCUGCUUACCCAGCUCAGUCGCAUAAAGUAAUAUUUGACUGAAAUCGUGGUAACUUUGAAUUCAUUAGAAGAACAGCCCAGUAAACAGCUCAGGGACUGCGUCGUGAAAAGAGCAAGGGCUCCUUUUAUGUUCAGUCCACGAGUUGUCCAUUUUUUUGCCCUUAUUUUUAUCAAAACUAUUGACUGGAUUUGAUGAAGCUAGUGUUGGUUUCUUAAUAUUCAUAUAAGCAGUGGAAAUAAUGAAAAAAUUAUUUUAGAUUUUCUAUGAUCUUGAUAUAUUUAGAGUGGUAUAAAAUUUACCUGAAGAUAUAAUUUUCAGCUUUGAUUAAAUUUUUAGGAUUACGUUGUCGUAAAUUACAAGUUGUCUAAUUGUUCGGUCUCGAAUGAUAAUCCACACAAAUCACCAGUAAAAAAUAAAAAAAUUUGAUAGAUCUAGAGUGCUAACUCUAAUUUUGUGUUUAUAUUGUUUUUCUUAAAAAUUGUCUAACAUAACUUUUUCUCUCUCAAAAUAAUAGACUUAGUUUUAUAUUUAUAGGGAAUUCUAAAAACCAUAUAAAUAACAAAAUAUCAAUUUGUCCAUUAAAUAAUAUCUAUGUAUUAUUUAAAGAUAAUUCUAAAAAUUUAAUCAAUCAACUCCCAUGUUAAUUAGUUUAGAACUAAAAUUAUAAUAUUUGAAUUAAAUACAUUAUAAUGCUUAAUUUCUAAACUUAUUUUCAAUCAAGUCACACUUGAUUAAUUAUUCCAGUUUAAUUUUUUACUAAUAGUUCUUAAUGAGUGUGACCCAUUAGGUUCUAAUAUGUUGACUUAAAUAUAAAUUAUAAUUUUAAAUAAAUAGAGUUAAUAAAUAAAUAAAUUUUAAAUAUCAAGUGCAUCAUUUAACAACAUGUCAUAAUUUCUUAAAUAUUAAGAAAAUCAUAAAUAAUUUGACUUAACAAGAAUAACAUUUGAGUUAAAGUUGAGUGUUUGUUUAAGUGUGCAUCUAACAUAGUGGUGGUUUUUGCGGUUGUGAUUUGAAAGAAUAAAUUUUAAAAAAAAUUAUAAAUUAUAAUUUUUUUAUAAUCAAGAUUUUAAAAGAAAAUUUUCAAUAAAAUCUAUAUAAAAUUAUAAUAUAUAUUAAUUAACUAAAUACCAGAAUUGUGAUAGUAAAGGCAACUCCAAUGCAGAGCUAAAUAGAGAGCAAAAAAUAAAAAAGUUAUAUUUUAGCUUUCCUUUGCUUGUUUUUUAUGCUAAAGGGAAAAGUUAAACAAAAUGCUAAAAUAUCUUUUCUUUCCAUAAAUGUUAUUCCUACGAGUAUGUUUGAGAUUGUGGUAGCGGUGGCGGUUCAAAGUAUUUUUGGUUUAGACAUGCAUCAAAAUAAAGUCCUUUCUAUUUUUUAAAAAAUAUUUUUGAUAUCAGCACAUCAAAACAAUCCAAAAAUAAAAACAAAAUUGAAUUUUGAGGGAACACGGUUUGCACCGCGUUCCCAAACGGUGCCGUACAUAUCUCUUAAAAAGCCAAAACCAACAAAGUGGGGCCAAUAAAAAAAAUAAACCAAUUAAAUGUAGCCAUGUGAAAAAAAAUGACAUCAAAAUCAUUAAGAAAAAAUAAAACACUUAUUUAUUCCAUUCCAAUACAAUUAGCUUUUCAAAUAGCUUUUUUUCAUUGGAAUAUACAUGGCAAAAAAUUCUAUAUUUAUACUAUUUAAAAUGUUAUUUUAUCAAUUUAUUUCUUAAAAAUAACAUUUUCCAUUAGAGAUACUCUAAUAAAACACAGUUGAAAGCAUCGCACCGCACUCUCUUGAAUAGAACAACGUGUUUGGGAACACGGUCCAACUCAUGUCCCAAAAAAUUUUAAAUUUUUUUGUUUAAAAUUAAUAUUUUUUAAUGUUUUUGAAUUAUUUUGAUACGCUAAUAUAAAAAAUAAUUUUAAAAAAAUAAAAAUAUAUUAUUUUAAUAUAUUUUAAAAUAAAAAAAUACUUUAAAUUACAACCCUUAUCAUAAAAAGUAAAAUCUGAUGGGAUUGAUACCAGAAUCUGACGCCAGGGUAAAACUUGAUUCGCCCCAGGAGACUCAUUCAAACUUUGAUGGCAUAUUUUACGAGUGUUAUGCACAAUUCUUCGAUGACAAUGAUCAAUUCCAUCACAAAGAGACACAAUAAUCAUGAUGCAAUGCACUAAGACCAAUUCUGACGAUGCAUCACAAAGAGACACAACUACUUUUCUAGAUAAUUUAUUAAGUACAAUUAUUUCACCUGGGAAUGCGUUAUUAUUUGUUUUAUACAGUGUUAUAAAACCCGGACUGGCCCGGCGGGCCGACCCGGAACCUGGCCGACCCGGGUAAGAUAAAAGUCCGGCCAAAGGAAAAAACCGGUCAAACCCGGUCAACCCGGUAGAUCGACCCGUGAACCGGUCGACCCGGGCUAACCCGAGUGAGACCCGGUAUAUAUGUUAACUUUAUUGAAAGAUCACUGACUCAGGGAAAGCAAAAGGAAAGCUAGAGUUUUUGCCCUAAUUUCUUGCAGAAUAGACAACAACCAAGAGAUUUACUUCUGUUGGUAUUUCCUGCAGAAUAGACAACAAUCAACAGAGAGUUCAUUGGAGAAAUCUACAGGUUCUCUAUCUCUUUUACAUUGAUAUUGUGUCCAAGUUAAAUUAUUUGUUUUUAUGAUUUUCGCAUCUGCAGCUCUGCUACUUGCUUUUCACAUUUGGGUUUUUUUCUUUGAAUCUUCUAGCCCCUGUUGGAUCUCCCAUUUCACAACUUACAUCAUUCCCUUUCUGUCAUUGAUUUAUUAUUUGUUAAAUUCAUGUUUUUUUUUAAACUUUCUCAUAACAAACAUUCUCAGGACAGUUUCAUAAUAAUUUGUUAAUGAAUAUACAUUAUAAAAAACAUGCUCCUCUUGGUUUGUGCUCUGUAUGAUAAUCUGGAAUAAUUAAUGUUUUUACAAGUCUUUUAUCUGAUAAUGUUUUUACAUUAUAAUCUGGAAUAAUCCAAUUUGUGCACAUUCAUUUAAACCAAUUACUGCCAUACAUGUCUAUCAUUACUCUGUACCAUGAAUCAAUUAUUACUCUGCCGAAUUGAAAUUGCCUGUAUGCUUUUUGGCAAGAUGAAUAUCAAAUUAUUAUGAUGAUGAACAGUUAUUCUCAUUGCUUCUAUGAGUUCCAUAUUGCAAGUUUUUUAAUUUUGUUAUUUGAAUUAAUACUGAGUAAGAAGUUGAUUCAUGAUGCAACAAUAAUGGGCAUGAUGUUGAAUACAACAUAGUGAUUUCUUCUCUCUACAUUCCCAGUCUAUCAUAGUCCCAGUUUCCCUAAUUUCUCAUCUUGGUUUAUUUGAUUGCUCGUCCUGUAAGGGGAGGGGGAAAAAACAAAGAGAAUAUUGUUUACACGGGAUGCUCCCGUGAUUAAAAUUUGAAUUUUUUUUAAGAAUAUAUUUAUCUUAAAAAAUUAUUAAAUUAAUAUUUUUUUAAAUGUAUUUCAAUAAUUUUGAUCUUUUAAUAUAAAAAAAAUUAAAAAAAAAUUAAUCAUAUCCUAUACUACAAUACAAAGACACGCUAGUACUAUAAAAAUUUAGUUAAGGAUAAAAAUGAAAAGAUUGUUAAAAAGGAACGACCUUCUCAAUUGAAUAUAAAAAACUUCAGUAAAUAUUUUAAUUUUAAUUGAAUGAAUCAACAAACAAAAACUAUUUUAAGAUUCUGUCAAAAUCAUAUGCUUUGGAAUUAAUACAUUAGGUAAGAACAAAUUGUGGAGGUGCUUUUUAUAUACAUGCAUAGAUUUCAAUAAGAUUUUGUUUAGCAGUGAAGUUAUGAUUGCGAUUUAAAAUAUUUUUUAUUUAAAAAUAUAUUAAAAUAAUAUUUUUUUUAUUUUUUAAAAAUUAUUUUUAAAAUUAACACAUCAAAAACAAUAAAAAAAUAUAUAUAAAAUUUUAAUUUUUAAUCAAAAAAAUUAAAUCUUUUAAAAAUACAAGUUCACCCAUGUUUCCAAACAGGCGUAUUUUAUACUUUUAGUCUAAAAUGCCGUCUGUCUAUAUCUAUCUAAAUCAUGCAUUCCAUGUCUUGCAAGUCUUCUCAAAAUAAUUAAGUAAUAUUCUAAAAGGCAUGGGAAAGCACUGUAGCUUUCCCAUGCCUUUUAACUUUCCCCAUCAUUUCCUCAUUAUUAAUAUAUUAUAUUAUUAUAAUUAUUAUAUUAUAUUAUAUUAUAUUAUUCUAUUUUAUUGUAACAUAUCCUAAAAAGUAAUGUAGUUGUCUUUUUUUUUUAACGAAUUUUUUUUGUUUAAUUUAGUUUGUUAAUGUUAAUUUUUUUAUUUAGUUAUCAGAUUUUUAUGAUACAAUUUCCAGGUUUGGUGGGUUAACCUAGUUUGAUGAGUUAACCCGGAAUUUUUUUUUCUUUUUAAUUAAUUUUUUCGUUUAGUUUAGUUUGUUAAUGUUAAAUUUCUUUAUAUUUAAUAAUCAGAUUUUCAUGACACGUAUUCCGAGCUUGACGGGUUAACUUGGUUUGACGGGUUAACCCAGUUAAUUCUGGGUAAACCCGUCAAUUUUUUUUUCUAUUUAGUUAUCAAACUUUCAUGACGCGGAUCCCAGAUUUGACGGGUUAACCUGGUUUGAAGGGUUAACCCGAUUAGUUGAGAUUUUUUUUUCUUUUUCUUCAUUAGUUUUUUUCUUCCUAUUGGUUUUUUUUCUUUGUUUUUUUCUUUUUAAUUAAUCUAUUUAGUUAUCACACUUUUAUGACACGACCUUAUAGCCAAACUCACAUUCAAUGCUCUUGGGUUCGGUGUUGCAGCCAGACUCACUUAAACUUAAGUUACAUAAGUUUAAUAUUAUUAUUAAUAUUAUAAAUAUUACUCUUGGAUCAAGCGUUGCAGCUAGACCCAAGGCUUUUGGGUAUAUCUUUGCAAAAAGACCUAACACUCUUAGAUCUUAGCCUUUUUUGAUAUUUUUUAUACACGAAAAAAAUUAACCCGUGGCGUAUGCCUUUGGUUUUUUUUCCUUUUUAAGCCUUUUACUGUGGACUGAACAGUGCAGUCCACAGUGAAAAAUCUUAUGCCUUUAGUUUAUUUAUUUUUUCUAUAGUUUCUUAAUAUUAAUUUUUUUCUUCAUUAGUUUAGCCCAGUUGAUUCAGAUUUUCUUUUUCUUUUUCUUCAUUAGUUUUUGGCUUCCUGUAGGUGUUUUUUAUCUUUGCUUUUUCCUUUUUAAUUAAUCUUUUUUUUUUAAUUUAAUUCAUUAAUAUUAAAUCUUUUUUCUAUUUAGUUAUCGCACUUUCAUGACACGGAUCUCAGGUUUGACGAGUUAACCUGAUUUGGCGGGUUAACCCAGUUGAUUCAUAUUUUUUUAUUUUUUCUCAUUAGUUUUUUUCUUCCGAUUUCAUCUUUUAAUAUUGCAUGCAGUCAAUAGUGAAAAGGCUAAUGCCUUUACUUUUUUUUUUUUUAUGCCUUUCACUGUGGACUGCACAGUGCAGUCCACGAUGAAAAGGUUGAUGCCUUUUUUUUUCUUCUUUUUAAUUAAUUUUUUUAUUUAGUUUGUUGAUAUUAAAUGUUUUUCUAUUUAGUUAUCAAACUUUCAUGACACGGAUUCCGGGUUUGACGGGUUAACCUGAUUUGACGGGUUAGUCCAAUUAAUUAUGGGUAACCCAUCAGUUUUUUUUUUUCUAUUUAGUUAUCAAACUUUCACGAUGUGAAUCCAAGGUUUGACGGAUUAACCUAUUUAGAAGGGUUAACCCAGUUCAUUCAGAUUUUUGUUCUUUUUCUUCAUUAGUUUUUUAAAGAAAAACUUAUGGAUUACUACAAUGUUUCCCUACAUGGCUUUUUUUAUGAAUUGUUUCUUCUUCUUUUUUUCCAAAAUAGUCUUUGUCGAUUUUGUUUCGUAGUUUUUUUUUAAAAAAAACACUGUGAAUUGUUGCAAUAAUUCCCUACAUUAUUUUUGUUUUACUAUAGUGUUUUCCCACAUGUUUUUUUAAAAAAUUAUCUUUGUCGAUUUUUUUUUAAUAUUGAGCUAGUUAAGAAUUCAGCUUUAAUUUUCCCACAUGUUUUUUUCUUAUUUUUUUCCAUUUUUUUAUUGCUUUUUUUUUUUCCAAAAUUGUCUUCUUCUUUUUUUAUGUUUUUUUAUUUUAUUUUUAAAAUAUCGAGCUGGUUGAGAAUUUAGCUUUGUCGUUUUUUCUUUAAAACAUUGUAGAUUGCUACAGUGUUUCUGCACAUGGUUUUUUUUUCUUUUUUAUGAUUUUUUUUCCAGAAUAGUCUUUGUCGAUUCUAUUUUUUUCAUAUUGAGCUGGUUGAGAAUUUAGCUUCGUGGUUUUUUUUCUUAAAAACACCGUGGAUUGCUACAAUGUUCCCCCACAUGAAUUUUUUUUUGUUAUGAUUUUUUUUAAGAUUAUCUUUAUCGAUUUUAUUAUUUUAAAUAUUAAGCUGAUUGAGAAUUAUAACUGUAGAUUUUCUCAUGAAACACUAUAGAUUGCUAUAGUGUUUCCCUGCAUGUUUUUUUUUCCUUCUGAUUUUUUUAUGAUUUUUUCAAAAUUUUCUUUGUUUAAUUUUGUAAAUAUUAAUCUGGUUGAAAAUUUAGUUUUGUAGCUUUUUCCUUGAAAAGAUUGUGGAUUGCAACAGUUUUUCUACAUAUAAUUUUCCAAGACUAUUGGGUCUGGUAUUGCAGACAAACCCACUUAAACUUGGGUCAUGCAAGUUUAAUGUUAUUAUUAAUAUUAUAAAUAUUACUCUUAGGUCAUGCGUUACUGCCAAACCCAAGACUUUUGGGUAUAGCUACGCAGAAAGACCUAACACUUUUAGAUUUUAGUUUUUUUUUUCAUAUUUUUUAUGCAAAACAAAUUGACCCGCAGCAUCUCGCAGGUCAUGUAACUAGUAUAUUUCUAUAAUUGAUGGUUUAGAUAGGACAAUCAUGAUAAGGCCAACAGUUUCUCUAUACAAUCUUUUAUUGUGUAUUAUUUUUUACUUAUUUUUGUCAUAGAUUCUCAAUUUUGUUAAAAAAAAAAUAAAUUUUAUCAAUUUCUUCAUCAAUGCAUUAGAAACUUCAUGAUAAUAGCAUGCGAGAAGUGUUAUUUUGUUGUAUGAAAUAAUAUUUUUUAUUUAAAAAUAUAUUAAAUUAUUUUUUUAAGUUUUUAAAAUUUAUUUUUGAUAUUAACAUAUCAUAAUAAUCUAAAAAUAUUAAAAUAAUUAAUUUUAAAAAAAUUAAAUCUUUUUUAAAACAUUUUUACUUCACAAAUAAAACAAAACCAUGGAGAAGCCAAUUGGAAUAUGAAUAUGAAACAAAAGUAGAAUAAAGAGGACGAGUAAUAAAAAGGAAAGAGACUGGUCGGCCAGCAAGAUCGGCCUCUUUGUUCGAAAGCCAAAACAAGGCAUCGAGGCUUGUGGCCAAAUGAUAUCGGCAAGCUUUCCUUACCUAUGCAUCAUGUAUUCAAGUCUUAGUGUGUAUAUUUGUUUCUUAUAGUGUUUUAUUUGUCUAUUAAACUUACAGGGUGUUCAGUGAAUCCAAAAAUUAAUUGUAGUGUGUAUAUACUAGCCCGAAAAUUCCAGAUUAUAUAUAAAAAAAAACAGGUACAUGUCAACAUACCGAUCUUACGUGAGCCAUGACGAAUAAAGAAAAAAAAGAGAUUCUUUUUCUUCUUUCUUACCUGUAUAUCGAUAUUCAUAGAAAUUGAAUUCGUAUCAUAAUCAUGAAAUAAUAGAAUAUUUAAUUAUUUUUCCAUCCCAUGCAUGCCUAGCAACAUCACAAUUCCUCCCUCCUUUUCCUAUCUUGCAACACUACUAAUAUAUCCAAGUAUUUGUUAGUGGAAGCUCUACAGGUUAUGUUUUGAAUUUACUCUUAUUUUAGCCACUAAAAAUUAAUUUUAAAGUUUGUUAAAUUAAUCAAAAUACAUACAAGUGGGCUAAUAUUCAUAUUAAUAAUAAUAAAAAAAAAAGGUAUUUAACAACACUGCAGCAUCACUUUCUCUCUGAAAUUCUGGUUCCACUCCGUGUCCUAAACUCUUAACACAGAGGGAGAGACCUCAAAAACUCUGAAAUGGAACAUUAAUAAAUCUUGGCUUGUAAAAUUUGAGGUUUGGUGCAAUUUUCAGGUUAAUCUUCUUAUUCUUUUAAAUGUUAUCCAGGUGUGCCAUACCGCUGGUUGAAUGAAUGCAAACCUGAAUUCUUUUAUUUCUUAUGAACUCAAGAUUGGCUGACAAGCUUGUUUUCUUUAAUUUAAUUAUGAUAAUAAGGUUUGAUUUUUUAUAAUAUCUUUAGCAAGACUUGCUUGUUAAAUAUUUUUGAGGAUCUCACAUCGUCUGUUGGUCAUUAAGAAAUAUUAUUUUAUCGUGUAUUAAAGGUAGACAUUUUUUUUUGCCCAAAAAGAAUUGGUAAUGAACUAAUGAUGAAUUUUUUAUCUUUUCGUAGGAUUACUUCUCUACCUUUUGUUUCUCCUUUCUUGCUUUUUUAUGAUCACAUUUUCUUUAAUCUUUAGUUCUUUGUGAGUGAUGGUACUUGUUAUUGUGGGGUGUGUGUAAAAAAUGCUUCUUCUUCAUUAAAAAAUCACUGAUAAUUAGCUAGAUAUUGUUAGAUGGUUUUAAAGAUUUGAUUAAUUGAUGAUUUUUCUUGUAACACAUAGCAUUGUUUUUUUACAUUGUAUGCCAAAGCAGGAGUUGAAAAGUAAGCAGGAAAGGAAAGAUAAUGGAAGACCUGUGGACGUUGUUUUGUGGGGAAUCUGUCAAUUCGGAUACAAGUGGAAAGCCAUCUGGUUCUAGCUUGGUAUUUCAACCAACUUCAUGUAUCAAUCACGCGCUGAUCAUUUGCUUCGAUGUUUUGCUUCUAAUCGUGCUCUUGUUCACUUUCAUGCGAAUAUCUUCAGAAUCUUCAAAAAUAUAUAAAAUAACACCUCGAUUUAGAGGCUAUUCGAGUCUACAGAUAGUUUCUGUUAUACUCAAUGGUGGUAUCGGAUUUGUGUACUUGUGUUUGGGCAUAUGGAUUUUGGAAGAGAAGUUGAGGAAAAACCAGACUGUCUUGCCAUUGAGAAGUUGGUUAGUGGUGCUGUUUCAGGGAUUUACAUGGCUUUUGGUGGGUUUGACCAUAAGCCUUCUAGGGAAGCAUCUUCAAAGAACACCAUUGCGGCUAUUGUCCAUUCUUGCUUCCUUGCUUGCUGGUAUUGUCUGUGCUUUGUCCAUAUACAAUGCCAUUUUAGGUGAAGGAAUGUUGGUUAGGAUAGCUUUGGAUGUCCUCUCCUUUCCAGGAGCAAUAUUGUUAUUGUUAUGUGUUUACAAGGUUUAUAAACACGAAGGGAAUGAAGAAAGGGACAUGUAUGCUCCAUUGAAUGGCGAGGCCAAUGGUGUAAGUAAAACCGAUUCCGUUGACCAAGUUACUCCAUUUGCUAAAGCAGGAUUCUUCAAUAAAAUGUCAUUUUGGUGGUUGAAUCCACUGAUGAGAAAGGGUAAGGAGAAAACUCUAGAGGAUGAGGAUAUACCAAAGUUGCGAGAGGCAGAACAAGCAGAAAGCUGUUAUAUGGAGUUUUUGGAGCAACUGAACAAACAAAAACAAGUUGAAUCAUCUCAGCCAUCUCUCUUGUGGACAAUUAUAUUUUGCCACUGGAAAGACAUUGUAAUUUCAGGAUUCUUUGCCAUGCUAAAGAUACUUACUUUGUCAGCUGGGCCUCUGCUUCUGAAUGCAUUCAUUUUGGUUGCUGAAGGAAAAGCAGGUUUUAAAUAUGAAGGUUAUGUACUGGUUCUGACGCUCUUCUUUUCAAAGAGCUUAGAGUCCUUAUCACAAAGGCAAUGGUAUUUUAGGAGCAGGCUUGUUGGUUUGAAAGUCAGGUCUUUGCUCACGGCUGCAAUAUAUAAGAAGCAACAGAGGUUAUCCAACGAUGGUAGGUUGAUGCACUCGGGUGGUGAGAUCAUGAACUAUGGUACUGUGGAUGCUUACAGGAUAGGCGAGUUUCCCUUCUGGUUUCAUCAGACAUGGACAACAAGCUUUCAGCUUUGUCUCUCUCUUGUAAUUCUUUUCCGUGCAGUGGGACUAGCAACAUUUGCUGCCUUAGUGGUUAUAAUAAUUACUGUGCUAUGCAACACUCCACUUGUAAAGUUACAGCUUAAGUUUCAGUCUAAGCUUAUGGUGGCACAAGAUGCGAGAUUGAAGGCUUGUACUGAGGCUCUGGUUAACAUGAAGGUAUUGAAAUUAUAUGCUUGGGAAACGCAUUUUAAGGAUGCCAUAGAAAAUUUGAGAAAUGUAGAGUAUAAAUGGUUGUCAGCAGUGCAAACGCUCAAAGCAUAUAAUGGUUUUCUCUUCUGGUCUUCUCCUGUUUUGGUCUCUGCUGCUACCUUUGGAGCAUGCUAUUUCCUGAAAAUUCCUCUGCAUGCUAAUAAUGUUUUCACUUUUGUGGCGACUUUGCGUCUUGUUCAAGACCCAAUUAGAUCAAUCCCUGAUGUUAUUGGAGUGGUUAUUCAAGCAAAGGUAGCUUUUGUACGUAUUGUGAAGUUUCUUGAAGCGCCAGAGUUGCAGAACGGAAAUGUUCGGCACAAUCGCAACAUGGGGAGUGUGGACCAUGCUAUUUUAAUCAAGUCAGCUGAUUUUUCAUGGGAAGAGAAUUCUUCAAAGCCUACAUUGAGAAAUGUGAGUUUUGGAAUUCGGCCCGGUGAAAAGGUGGCCAAUGUGGAGAAGUUGGCUCUGGCAAGUCUACCCUUUUAGCAGCAAUUCUUGGAGAAGUUUCACAUACACAGGGAACUGUAAGUGUAUCUUUUUAGAACUUCCAUUUUAUUCUUCUUAAAUGUAUCUUGCCAUUCUCUUCCAGUCCUUAACCUUUUGGAGUUUCUUAAGAACAAAUGUGCCUUAAUGCAAAUUUUAUUUCCUAUUUCAUAAGUGAGCCUUUUUUUGGUCUUUAUGACCUGCAGAUUCAGGUUUGUGGUAGGAUUGCCUAUGUUUCUCAAACAGCUUGGAUCCAGACGGGAUCGAUACAAGAGAACAUUCUAUUCGGUUCGGAAAUGGAUAGGCAACGAUACCAUGACACACUUGAGCGAUGCUCUUUGGUAAAGGACCUUGAGUUGCUUCCUUGUGGUGAUCUUACUGAAAUAGGUGAAAGAGGAGUCAAUUUGAGUGGUGGUCAAAAGCAGCGAGUUCAACUUGCCCGGGCUCUCUAUCAGAAUGCAGAUAUAUAUCUCUUUGAUGAUCCAUUCAGCGCUGUGGAUGCACACACAGCUACAAGUUUAUUCAAUGUAAUCAAAUUUUCCUGAUAGAAACCUCUGUCUCCACUCUUAGUUGCUAUCCUUCCCUUAAUUCUAACUUGAUUCUUUACAGGAAUAUAUCAUGGGAGCACUUUCAAGGAAAACAGUCUUGUUUGUGACUCAUCAAGUUGAUUUCCUGCCAGCAUUUGACUCUGUUAUGGUUAGUAUCCUUUGAUUCAAUCACUUUUAGGAAAUAAUUAGUUACUAGCUACAAUUCUAUGGCUGAUUAAACUUCAUUUUCACGUUAAAGCAAUUUUUCCAUAAAAUUUGUUUGUUAAAGCUUUCACAAAAGAAUUACCUUGAGACAGCUUAUCUUUGUAAACAGUUGAUGUCGGAUGGAGAAAUCCUACAAGCCGCUCCUUAUCAUCAGUUAUUGUUGUCUAACCAAGAAUUUCUGGACCUUGUCAAUGCACACAAAGAAACAGCUGGUUCUGAAAGGCAUACCGAGGUUGAUGCUUCGCAGAGACAAGGAUCAUCUGUUAGGGAGAUCAAGAAGAGUUAUGUAGAGGGGCAGAUUAAAACCUCUCAAGGAGAUCAACUGAUUAAGCAGGAAGAAAAGGAAGUGGGAGACACAGGGUUUAAGCCUUAUGUGCAAUAUCUAAAUCAAAACAAAGGAUACGUGUACUUCUCCAUUGCUGCUUUCAGUCACCUGUUGUUUGUCAUUGGUCAGAUAACACAGAACUCUUGGAUGGCAGCUAAUGUUGAUGAUCCUCAUGUCAGCACAUUACGUUUAAUUGCGGUCUAUCUGUGUAUUGAAGUUACCUCAACACUUUUCUUGCUAUGUAGAUCAAUCUCUAUAGUUGUUUUGGGUCUUCAAUCAUCGAAGUCAUUAUUUUCCCAGCUACUAAAUUCUCUUUUUCGUGCACCCAUGUCUUUCCAUGACUCCACACCUCUUGGAAGAAUACUGAGUCGGGUAAGCAUCUCACCCAGAAAAUGUUGUUUCCUUCUUGAGGAAUGAUGUGUAACUGUUUAUCUGGACCUGUGUUUAUUUUAUGUCUCAUAGGUCACGUCAGAUUUGAGCAUUGUCGAUCUUGAUGUUCCUUUCGUUUUGAUCUUCACCGUUGGUGUAACCACAAAUGCUUAUAGUGACCUGGGAGUACUGGCUGUUGUCACCUGGCAAGUCCUGUUUGUCUCCAUACCAAUGGUUUAUUUGGCUAUUCGCUUACAGGUAAUUAUGUUAUCCUCUUACAUGAGUGGUUUGGAAUUGUGAGAAGCUUGGCAAUGGCCCAAUCUAAAUAAUCAGGAAAGCAGACUUGGGGCUUCAAGAAUAAUAAGAAAAAAAAGGCUAAAAACAAUUCUUAAUUUCUUACAAUGAGCUGUUCAAUUCACCCAAACUGCCUGGAGUGUGGUUCUUCUGAAACCACAGGAUAGCGUCUCCUCUACAUUUAAAAAAAAAUUCCUUACAACUUGUGACCAUGUAAUAAGUUCAAUGCAAUGAAACGUAACUAAUCAUUUUUUAUAGAAUAAUUUGAUGUUUAUUGUCUUACAUUGCCACAUGUAGGAAUGUAGACCGUAGGCUUAAAAAAAAGGCUAAAAGUUUUCUUGCAGUGAGCUUCAAAUUGACCAAACUGCCUGGAGUUUGUAAUUCUUCUGAAACUGGUUAUCAUCCCAACUUUUUUUUAAAACAACUUUCUUACUACUUGUGAAGAAUCAAUGCAAUGUAACGCAAGUAAUCAUCGUGUACAAUUUAACACAUGAACUUUCAAUUGUAUUAGUAAUGUUUAUAUGAUAGGUAACCAGUUUAACAAAUCAAGGCAUGUAUAGUGUACACAUUCACGAGGGAAAUCUUGUUUUCAAGCUGAGAACAAAUCUAAAGAUUACAGUAGUAUUGGCAUAACUUCUACAAGAAUGGAUGCCUCAGUUAGUCUAACAAAGUUGAACUGCUCAAAUAUAAUGCAUAAAUUGAUUAUAUGGCUGGAAGUGGCAGUAUGCUGUUAUGAUCUCCUUCUUUUGAGGACCAUACUACCAUUAAAGAUGAUUUUACGUUUAUAAAGUGGAUUUAAGGAUUAUCUCAUUCUUAUCUGCAGGCAUAUUACUUUGCCUCUGCUAAAGAAUUGAUGCGGAUCAAUGGCACAACCAAGUCUUUGGUGUCAAAUCAUCUAGCUGAAUCUAUAGCAGGAGCCAUGACAAUAAGGGCCUUUGAGGAGGAAGAACGUUUCUUCGCAAAAACCCUUAACCUCAUUGACAUAAAUGCUAGUCCUUUCUUCCACAGUUUUGCUGCAAAUGAGUGGUUGAUUCAACGGCUUGAAAUAUUUAGUGCAACUGUUCUUGCCUCUGCAGCACUCUGCAUGGUUUUACUACCUCCUGGAACUUUUAACUCUGGUGAGCAUUUAUGUUUACUUUUCUUCAACUUUUUUUGAACACAUAAUAUUACGAGCUUCCCGAUUCUGACUCGUUGUAAUACUUCCAUUACUGUAGGAUUUAUUGGAAUGGCACUUUCUUAUGGACUUUCAUUAAAUAUGACGCUGGUGUUUUCAAUUCAAAGCCAGUGCACAUUAGCAAAUUACAUCAUUUCUGUUGAAAGGCUUAAUCAAUACAUGCGCAUACCAAGUGAAGCCCCUGAGGUGAUUAAAGAUAACCGACCUCCAUCGAAUUGGCCGGAAAAGGGUAAAGUGGAUAUUUGUGAUUUGCAGGUUAGUCUUACUCCUAUGAUUUAUUGGUAUUUAAUGAGACAAUUGGUGAAGGCUAACGGACUGAAAAAGUUAAGUAUCAAAUAGAUUAGAUACAGGCCUGACGCACCACUAGUUCUUCGAGGAAUCAGUUGCACAUUUGAAGGAGGGCACAAGAUUGGAAUUGUUGGUCGAACCGGCAGUGGGAAGACUACACUUAUAGGUGCUCUAUUUCGACUGGUGGAACCAGCUGGAGGAAAGAUCAUCGUAGAUGGAAUUGACAUCUCUAAGAUUGGACUUCAUGAUCUGCGGUCACGACUCGGAAUAAUACCUCAAGAUCCUACUCUCUUUAGCGGGACUGUGAGAUACAAUUUGGACCCCUUAUCCCAGCACACUGACCAGGAGAUAUGGGAGGUAACUUUUCCAGUUCAUUAGACAUUUUAAUCUAGUAAUCAUUGUCUAUAAACUAGCGGAACUGUUGUUUUCUACCUUCAUGCUUUCUAACUCGAAAGUUUGUUCCAUAUUUUCAAGGUUCUCGGAAAGUGUCAGCUUCAAGAGGCUGUACAGGAGAAAGAGCAGGGUCUAGAUUCUUUAGGUAUGCUUUCUUCCCCUGCAUGGAAAAUAAUGAGUGUAUGCUUUCGAUUGUAAUAGUCAGUGAAUGAUUAACAACCUGCAACACAGUUGUGGAAGAUGGAUCGAAUUGGAGCAUGGGGCAGAGACAAUUAUUUUGCUUGGGCCGUACCAUUUUGAGUAGGAGUAGGGUACUGGUGCUUGAUGAAGCAACCGCAUCAAUUGAUAAUGCAACUGACUUGGUUUUGCAAAAGACUAUUCGGACUGAAUUUUCAGAUUGCACUGUAAUCACAGUAGCUCACAGGAUACCAACAGUGAUGGAUUGCACAAUGGUACUUUCCAUUAGCGAUGGUAAGUUUCAUUUCUUUAUUUCUUAUAUAAAAAAUGCACUUAUCUGUAUCUUGCACAUCGUGACUUUGAGGAUAUGCACUGAUUUGUCGCCACUCCAAGAAAAUCUCAUGUAGCUGAUCUUUCAUCCAUGCCAUCCAACAUCUUAACAGAGGCUUAUUUUUCUGGAGUGACCCCAAAAUACCAGAGCUAUAAGGCGAUCUAUUGCCAAACCUUGGUUUCCAUUUGAAAAAAAAAAAGACGACAAAAACACAACCUAACACUUAAGAACGAGAGACGACUGUAGCUGCAACUUCACGUAGAUAAAUCUCAAAAGAAAUUCCAAGAUGUAUCACUAAGCUGUUUUUGUUCUAUUUUAGGAAAACUAGUCGAGUUCGACGAGCCGGAGAAGUUAAUGAAGAUGGAAGGUUCACUUUUUGGACAACUUGUGAAGGAGUACUGGUCUCAUUUACACGCUGCAGAAUCACAUUGAAGCUAAAUAUUAUUUAUCGUGUAUCCCACUUCUAAUUUCACCCUACCUUUUCAGCAAGGAAAAGGAUGCUAGGACCAGGUAGGAAGUAUGAUGUAUGAUAUUGCAACAAUAUUACAGGGCUAGAGAGGAAAAAUGGAGAAGAGGAAUAUCAGUUCCUAUCCUUAGUUUUGCACCUGUAUUCAAACAUCAAGCUUGCUAAUAUCUACUGGGAAAUUGACUUGUAACCAGGAUGAUGGAUGCAUGUAAAUUAGUGGAUGCAAAUUAUUUUAAUAGCAAUAAUUUUUUUUUGGCAAUGCUAUGUUCUUUAUUAGAAGUUUCUAAGCGAUAUGUUGCAGACAUAUGCACAAAUAACAACUUUUUUUAUUUAUUUAUUCAAUAGUAACCUUAUUUUUAGAUUAGUUUUCGAUUCAACUGAGACAAAAUCCCUUCCAGUCAGGGGCGGAACCAGAAAAAAGAAUUAAAGGGGCCAAAAUGUUAGUUGUUUUAUUAUUUAGGCUAAAUAUAUUAAUAUUAUCAAGGGAGGGGCUGGAAAAAAAAUUCCUUGCAGGGGCCCCGGCCCCUGCCAGCCUCCCCCUGUCUCCGCCCCUGCUUCCAGUAAUUUUAAAAUUACAUUUUUAUAUUAUUUUCAUGUAUUUAAAAAGAAUUUCAUAAAUUUUCAUAGCUAUUGGCCUUAAAAUAUAAACUUGAGAAAUUAAGGAACAUGGUUAAUCACCUUAAUUAUCAUAUCAACCUAUGCCCAUGGGGAUUAUGAACUUAGCAACAUGAUCAUAUAUAGUAGCAAGUUACUAGUUAAUAAUAUAUACCAAAUAUAAGAAAAUUGUAAAAUUAAUGAGAUGGGAAUAUUAAGCUGUACAUAAAAAAAAAUUAGCAAACCUCAAAUAUACCAUAAACUAUUAGGGUAAUAUCAAUUUACCUUAAAAUUAUUUUUUAUAUCUAUUUUAUUUUUGAAGUAUUUUGAUUUCUCAAUUAAGAACUUUUAGAGAGAAUAAGAGAAAUCUUUUAAGCAAGAGAACAUUAAAUCAAUUUUCUUAGAGUAUGUUUGUAUAUGCUUGUUAAAGUAUUUGCAUCCAAAAUGUUAAAAUAAAUUCCAAAUUGUCCUAAAACAUAACUUAAAGUUAUAAUAAAUUCUCCACUCAUAUGGAUUGGUGAGGUAAAGGGAAAUUUUUUAUACUGAAAUUGUCGUUUAGGGUAGACUGACAAUUGAUGGAGGUAAACAGGGCUGAAAAGGUUCAUAUGAAACAGAUUAGAAAUAUACCUAACACACCACUAGUUCUUCGAGGGAUUAGUUUGGUAUUGUUGGUCGAACUGGAAAUGGAAACACUACUUUUAUCGAUGCUCUAUUUCGGCUGGUGGAACCAGAGGGAGGAAAGAUUGUAGUGGAUGGCGCUGACAUUUCUGAGAUUGGACUUGAUGAUUUGAGGUCACGAUUUGGAAUAAUACCUCAAGAUCCUACUCUCUCUAAGGGGACAGUGAGGUGCAUUUUGGACCCCUUUUCUCAGCAUACUGACCAGGAGAUGUGGAAGUUACUUUCCAAUUCUUGCUCAUAUAUAGUUUUUAAUCUGUAUAUAAUCAUGAUCUAACCAAUGGAUGAAAAACACUUUCUACCCCCAUGCUUUUUGUACUUGUAUUAGUAUAAGUAGGUCGUAUAGUAUUGCAACAAUACUAUAGGUCUAGGGAGGGAGAAAUGUGGAGGAGGAACUGAAGUUCCUAACAUCAAUUUUGAACUAGAUUCAAAUAUCAAGUUUCGCAAAUUCUUCUUGGCAAUUCAAUGAAAUUGGCCACUUUUUGCAAGAGCAUCAGGUUGCAGGCUUGUUGCCACUACACUAUGAUUUUCCUGUAUCUAUCCACACUCCUGCAGCUAGCUCCUUAGUGUGGAUAGAUACUGGGAAAUCACACUGUCAAAAUCAUCAGUGAUAACUAUCAUCUGGAGUUGAAUCCAGGAGCUCUACGAAGAAUACAAAAGGUGGUGCUACUGAAACUUGAACUAUAGGAUUUUUGCUUCCUUCCUCUUUAGCUGCUGCUUUUGUCCUGAAAAAUGAUGCAGAAGCUGUAGAUUCUGAUAGCGUAAAAGCAUGUUCCUCUGUUUUCCAAUGAUGAAUGGUGAAGCAAAAGGAGAGCAUGCUUGAUCAAGACCAGAGACCAAAGACGGAUGCAUUUAGCAAUCAUCAAAGCCCAUUGACAAGGAAUUGGACAACUUGGGAUACAUCAAAAGAAUUUUAUUUUUUAUUUUUAAAAAAAAGAGAGCGUAUGCUCAGAAUGAGGAUAUAGAAUGAACACCAUGCAAGUCCUAUGAGAUAUUCCCAUGAAUAAACAAUGACACCAUUCAAAAGAUGAAAUGAUCACUUUCAUUUUCUUUAUGGUCCUCCAAGAGUAGCGUUUUCUAUAUCUUCUCUGCUCAAUGCGUAACUGAAUCUCUUCUCCACAUCCUUUUCAAGAUUCCCUGGUCUAUUCUUCAAGUACCUGCAUCACAAGAUACAGUCUGUUUAGCCAAGCAAUAAAUCUAAAAGGAUGAAUAGUGUAACUGAGUAUAAGACUUAUUUCCUCGCUUUUACGUCAAAUUAGCAUUUCAGAAUCCAUCUCCAAUGGUAAAAUCUAACUACCCUGGAUAAACAAUGAUAUCUUAAUUUGUGCAAUUUGAUAAAUUAAUCCAUUAGUCCUAACAGGUUGAGAAUUUAAAAUUUGAAUAGCAAGGGAGAAUAGGGAAGAGUCAACUCUCAGGCAAGCUGCAGAACCAAUUAAACCUUGUUUCCCACUUGAAGUUAUCCAGCUUUCUCCACCAUUCAUUUCCUUUUAUUGAAUCCCAACCAAGAUUCAAUGAGCACAAUGUCAUCAUUGCAUUGGUCUUACUCUUGAAUAGGUGCCAUCAUCUUCAUAUUUUAGAAGAUUGAUGGUUGAGAAACUUCAAUUGUACAUAGUUCAAAGAAGUCUGCACAAACCAUUACAAUAGUAAAAAAAAAUACAUAUAUAAAAUAUGUAAGCUGCUGUUUAAAAUGAGAAAUCAUCUUCUUAAAGAACAGAACAUGAUAUGAAAACCAUACCUUAUGUCCCAAAUUUCAGAAGGGCACUGACUAGCCCAAACGGAAUCAAUCUUAACCAAUUGAUCUGCAGGCUAUGAGCCUAUGAGCUAGUCCCAAAUUUCUGCACCAAUGACAUUAGACCCAUUGAUAUUUGCUGGACAGGGCUAACCUUUCUAUUAACUUUCCUAUUGUCAUUGAUCACACGACCUCCAACUUCCGACAUAUUGGUACCAAUUUCCUUCACGCAAUCACUAAUUCAUCUUGACUUUUGAUCAUGCUUAAAUACUUUUAUUUACAUGAUUUAUUAGCAUGAAACUGUUUUUCUAUAUGAUCAUGAAGAAGAAGCUUGUGAUGGUCCCAUAACUUCUCUGUAUUGUGUAGGUAUAUGCCAUGCAAUCAUCUAUCUAACUCCAUCUCCAGUAGCACUGUAAUUUCAAUUCCCGCACACAUUAUUUAUCCAAAUCAACACAAACUCAUCACGUUUAUGUAUCUCUGUCAUCAAUUAUUCCUUAGUUACUUCCACUGAAAAGUGAAUAGAUACUCUUACAAUUGUUAAUUUUGAAACUCUAAUUUAUACAUAGUUGCAUCAUUUCUGAUCUUAUCAAACCAACUACAAUUUAUUAAUUCAAAUCGUCCAUAAACUUCUAAUAUUUUGAUAAUAUUGCUCCACAACAUAUUACUCUUCUUCCCCAAAUGCAAACCUCAUAUGAGCACAAACCUCUUAACACAUUUGCUAGAUUACUUCUCUAGUGUACAACAUGACUAAUUGAGGAAAUAUGGAUGUGCUCUUUUUUUAAAUAAAAUGAAAAGGUAUUAACACUAAUUCUUCAGCCUUUUGCUGCUCUAGAAAGGUUAUCGUUACAUCAACCAAAAUUAUCAUAUCAUAGAAGCUCAUCUAUUCAUCGAACCUCACUAAAUCCCUAUAUUCAAACUAGUUGGGAUCAGCUAGAUCCUUUUUAUCAAUUCUUUCUGAGCAGCAGAGUUCCUAUCACUAACAAGAAUAAUCUCACUUCCAUCAUUAUACAAAUAUUUUCAAUCGGGAUUGUGUAACCAAAGAUUGACAAACAAACUUCGAGCAAUAGCUAUAACAAAGCACACUUGACUUGUCAGAUUACAGCACACGCCAUUAAAAACUCUCCAGCAUAAUUUAAUGGAAGCUAUAAUACAUCUAACAACAAUAUUAUCUGUUGUUCACUAAUUCAAAUCACCAAUUUUUCAUUGCCAGCUCAGGUUUCCUUCUUUUCUAAAAAUUCCAAAUUACAUGUAGAAACCACUCAACCUAAUAAUAAAAAUAAAUCCAAAUAAUGAACAUAAUACAAAAACACAGUAAUCAUUCACAGUAAAAUGUUAAGCUCAGCUUAACAAGAUUAGAAAGAAUAGAAAGAAAAGAGAACAUAAAUUGAAAAGGAACAGAAACAAGAGAGAGCAGAGGAAAAUGAGCAGAGAAAUGAGAUUGAUCUUCUGUAUUUUCUUCUUUUUUCUCACACAUUUCCAUACUCCAGUUUAUAUACAAGCUUUUAUUCUUCUACUGAUUGUAACUAUAAUCAAGCCUACUGACUCUAACUACUUCCUUAACUAACUCAACUACUUUUCUAACUUCCAGCUAACAUAAUUCCACCAGACUAACCGUUAUUCUUUCAGUGCUGUUGUUGCUUCUUGUUGCUCUCCUUCCAGCCUUCAUCAUGUCUCCUGGUUCGUAAUAUAAAAGAUAACUCAAACAGACUACAUCAUCACCACACUAGUGGCAAUUCACCAAACCACAAUGAUCGUAUGCAAAGUUGAAAACUUGACAGCAAUUACUCACAUACACUAACAAACAUAACAACAAAAACCCAGAUGCUAAAACAACAAUAAAGAACCAAACUUUACCUUAUAUAAAGAUCAGUGACAUCAAGUGAUAACUGAGCAUGCCAAUCAGGUUUCUCAACAAACCAAACAGCAUGGCUCUUCUUGCUUUGGUAAAACCCUAAACCCUUCAACCAAGCUUCAAUGCAAGGCAAAUUAUGAGAGUACAAAGGCUUUUUCUUGUCAGGGAGUGUUUGUAGCCACUCAUCUCCUGUUGAUGAUAUCUCCUCUACUUCUGAUGAUUUUGAAGAAACUAUUCUUUUGGGUUUUCUUGGAAACUUACAUAGAGGAUAAGGACAUGAAGAAGAUUUAGAGAAAAGGGAUGGAUGCAAUGAGGAAAAGUGAGAGACUUUGGAAGCACGAGUAGAAGUUGAAGGGUGCGAGAAGAGGGGGAUGUUAGUAGUGGCAAGGAAGGAAGAAAUGGUGGUCGUGUUUUUGUUCUAUUUCGGGUCCUAAACUUAUGGAUUCAUUUAAUUUUUGUUGGGAUGGAUUGGAGAGGGGAGGUUUUGGUGAAGCUUGGAGGGUAUAGGGUGGAGAGCAAGGUUGUCAAUUCCGUUCCGUUUCGCCCGGAAUGGUCGAUAAAAACAUACACGAGCAUGACUAUUUAUAUUUUGAACCAGCCAUGGAUGUUGAUAUACACCAUUUUGAGUCCUCUCCUGCUCUCGCAACAACUAAUUCCACUUCCAAUGAGUUGGUAGAUUUUCCUGUUGAUUCUGAUUUAAUGAAUAUUCACCGCUUGAUUUUGAGGAGUUUGAGCUCAUUUGGAGGGACCAAAAUGGGUACUUGUCAAAGGGGCUCGAGGAAAGUUGUUCUUUUCAACCAUAUAUAUUCUAGUGAAGGAAAGGUGACCGAAAAAUGCAGCCCUAGACCAUCCACUAUUUGGAGUGCUGGUGCAAUAUCAAUAUCAACCAUGGAUGCUUCUUUGAUCCAGCAACCGCUAACUUUGCCAACAGGAGACAUGGAGAUUGAUAAUCAACUUAGUGUGCAUCAUCUAGUCAAGGCUUACAAAGAAGCCAUGGAGAACAAAGAGGCAGAACUUGCAGAAGUGAUCACGAGAAGGAUUAGUAAGAAAGUUGGUCCAACGGGGGAGAUAGAGGAGCACCUUUUGUAUUACUCAUUUCAACCCUUAGACAAAGAAACAGAUUAUUUUACGCAAGAAUCUGCUAAGAACUUUGAUGGGGCUUUGGAGGCAUUCUAUAAGAUUUUCCCUGAUGGGAUGAUUUCUCAUUUCACAGCUAACUCAGUCAUUCUUGAGGCCAAGCCUCGUGAUGCUGAGGCUCUACACAUAAUAGACUUUGAUAUGGGAGAAGGGAUGCAGUGGUCUUCAAUAAUCAUGGCUCUUGGUCGAAAACAAAAGGAGCUACAAGCACAACAAUACUAUGGUCAUAUUCCACACUACAUGACCCUAAAACUCACAGCAAUCAAGUGGAAAGACGAGGGUUCUGGUCAUGAUGUACCUUCAUGGAGAAAGUUUGAGGAGACAAAAAGGAGGCUACAUGAUUGUACAAACCCCUUUGGUUUAAUAUUGGAAGUGGAAGAGGUAGAGCUACAAGAUUUGGCGAGGAAGAUGAAGGGAAAGAGAAAAGGUGGAGAAAGGAGAGAAUGGCUGGCCUUCAAUUUUAUGUGGGCUCUUUCCCAAUUGGCGAGAAAGAGGAGUAGAAGGCAUGUAUUGGACUUUGUUAGGACGGCGAAGGAAAUAUUAGCCAGUAUUUCUGUCUAUAGCAAUACUAGUAAUAGAGGUAUAUUAACAUUUGGUGAUGGAGGAGCAUAGGAAUUGUUCAAAGACUAUCCUGGUUUUGGAUUUUUCUUUGACAAUUGUAUGGAACAUUAUCAAGCCCUGUUGGAAUCAAUCGAAUGGAAGUUCCCUAGUUGCUUUAUAGGGGCGAGAAAAGCUAUGGAGUGCCUCUUUGUUGCACCUUAUGCCUCUUCUAGGGCUUGGAUACAAGAGUGGGAAGAAAUAGAAUAGUGUUGUGAUUUUAAGACAGGAUUUUGGCUUGAAGGGUUGCGACUAAGCAAUGAGAGUUUAUUGGAAGCAAAAGAAAUGGUGAGAGAAGGAGAGGCCCCAUAUGCAGUGAGGAUUGAAGGAGAGAAUUACAAUGAGAUGGUCUUGGAAUUUAGAGGAACUCAGUUGAUCAAAUUCUCUGCCAGGAAGUUAUGAUGUACUUUAGUUUCUUUCCAUAUUUUUCAUUUUAAGUAGCUUUUUUCACUCAUUAAUUAUUCAUUUGAUUAAUUUUGAAUAUUAAUGUAAUCUAAUAAGUUAUUAUAAGUGAAACAUAUGAUGUACAAUUUGUGAAUAUCAAUGUAAUAUAUAUAAUUUAUUAUUUUGAUAGAGUAUUAUUGAUUACCAACAAAGUUGUAAUCCAUUUUUUUUUAAAUCGACUUUCUUAGCUCUGAUAUCUUUAUAAUUAACCCAUCACUAUAAAUUAAUUUUUUUAUGGAUUCAGCACCCUUCGUCAUCCCAUGACAUGCCAUAAACUAUACGGGAACAAAAGAUUCAUGUUUGCUUUUUCAAAAAACAAAAAUGAUAAAGGGGGUGUUUAAGAGUGCUGUAACGGUUGUUUUUCAAAAAAAAAUUUGUUUAGAAAUGCAUUAAAAUAAUUUUUUUAUUUUUUUAAAUUAUUUUUGAUAUUAGCAUAUUAAAACAAUUUAAAAACACCUAAAAAUAAUUUUAAGAAAAAAACCUCAAAUCUUGCUGAAACUUCAGUGUAAACGCAGCCCUACGACUUCGUUUGGAAACACGGUUGAAACCGCGUUCUCUUAAAUUUCAAAAAAAAUUAUUAAAAAUUAUUAUUUUACAUUUUCAAAUCGUAAAAUAAUAAUUUUAAGAACAAAAGAUCCAUGCUUGCUUUUUCAAAAAAACAAAAAUGAUGAUGGGGUGUUUAGAAGUGUAGUAGCGAUUGUUUUUCAAAAACAAUUUUAUUCAGAAAUAUAUCAAAAUAAUAUUUUAUCAUUAUUUUUUUAAAAUUAUUUUUAAUAUCAGCAUAUCAAAACAAUUUAAAAAUAUCCAAAAAAAAAUUUUUAAAAAAAAUCUAAAAUCUUGUUGAAAUUUUAGUGCAAAUGCAAUCCUAAACAUGCCAAAAUCAAAACUGUGUCAUGGGCCUAGCGUUGCAGUGUAAACGCAGCCCUCUUUGUUGCUUCUACGCGUUCCUGGGCUAUCAAAGGUCAACGCCGGCUUAAUAAUGAUGCGGACGAUGAUAAGAUUAUUAAACAAGGAAGAGGAAGUCUGUGUCUAGCAACCAAGCAAUCACUUAUUUAUUUACCUUUUAAAUAUAUCAAAUUCAAGAAUAUCAGCUCAAUUAUGAUAUCACUAAUCAUGAUUAAUUAGCAGAGCUACAGUUUCCAGAUUAGUCAAAAUGCUAUACACUACUUUUCACUAAUCAUGAUUUUAAUUAUUACCAUAUCUCUUAUUUAUUUAUUUAUUUUGCUUUUUAUUAGUUUUUAUAUUAGUAACUUUUGUUUAUUUGUUAAUUACUAAUUGAAAUAAAAAAACACAUAAAGGAAUUAUAUUUACUUGGCAAUAUAAUUUCUACUCCUGCUACGAAUGGGACUUUUGGUCACUCGAAGAAGCAUCAUUGAAAUUGCUCGUGAUCAUGGCUAUCAGGUCUUCUUUUUAUAUAUUUUUUUUCUUUUUUCUUAUGAAAGAAAUUAAGCUUGCAUGUAUCAAAGAAAACUAAAAUGGCGCCAGAGCCCAAUACAGCACACAAAAACAACAGGGAAAGGGCUCCCUGCAAACCAAACGGAUCAAAAAACUAGUCAACUUAAAUAAAAACUCUUAUAAAAUCCAUCUCAAAAUAUGGAGCAUCAAAACCAAUUUUAUCAUUUUGGGCACAAUUACGUAUCAGGAUUGCUACUGUCAGAAUUAAAAAAGAAUUGUUAAAGGCAAGAGCAUCGAUGCUUUUCCUUUAAUCUUAAGAAUAUCUAAAAAUGCCUCUUUUUAUUUCAAUUAGUAUCUUUUUUUUCCAAUUAAUAACUCUUUUUUAUUUGCAAUCCCAUCUUUCCACAUAUAUAUAUAAAUGUCGACCAAUUUCUCAAUUUCAAUAUAUUAAGAGAUUAAACAAAACAAAUAAAAUGUACUUCAUUCAGAUUUUAGCAAUGAAAACUUUAAUUUGCACCCUAAAAUCUCAGUUUAUAUAUUAAUUGGUCUAUGUUGUUUUAAUAUUUUAUAUUUUGAUCUCAAACUUUAUUUAUUUUAAUCCCUAUAUGUUAAGAGAUGAAAAAGAAAAUCUUCAAAAAAAAAAUAUUGGGACUAGAGAAAUUGUUGGAUGGCUGCAUUUUAAUCACUAAGACUAAUAUUUGUGUUAUUAAAUUUGUUUUCUUGGACAAAGGAAGUGGUGUCGUCCUUUCAUCAUACUUAAAAAAGUACAUAGAUGUUCUUAAAGUAAACAUGCUUAAAAAGUAAAUUGAGGUUCUUAAAGUUUUUUUUAUUCAUUAAUUCUUGCUUUUAGAGAUUAGAGACUGUUAAAAAGAUUAAAAAUUGAUUUAUUAAGGUUUUCAAGUUGUUCUUAAAGUCUUUUUAAGUGAAAACAAAUUAACAUGUCAUUGAUUCGGAGAAAAAAAAAUUGAAGUGAAAACCUUCAAAAAAAAAACAUUAAUCAAUCUUAGCCUGGCCUUUUUAAAAAAAAAAUUGAUAUUUUUAUUUGAGAUUUUAAUUAUUACCAUAUCUUUUAUUUAUUUAUUUAUUUAUUUUUUAUUAGUUUUAAAAAAAAUAUUUAAUAUCCUCUCACUUAUUUUUUUAAUUUUUUAGUUCAUCUUUUAUAAAAUAGUAAUUAUUUUUUAAAUUUCAUAAUAUUUCAAAGAAAUUAUUAUAAUUUAUCUUUAUUUUUUCUUUUAUAUUUAUUAUAAAUUAAUUAUAAUUAUAUGACGGACUUAUAAAAAUAACAAUCAUUUAUUCUUAGCAAUCAAAAUUAAUCUCUAAAAAAAAGAGAGCCAAGAUUAGAAAUUUCAAUGUCCAUGUAUUUAAUUAUUGCAUGUAUGUUUGAGAUAUUUUUUAUUUAAAAAUAUAUUAAAAUAUAUUUUUUAUAGUUUUUUUUUUAAUUUUUAAUAUUCAAACAUCAAAACCGUUGAAAAUGAAUUAAUAUCAUGUCAAAAGUAUUACAAUGUAUCGUAAUUUUGAAAAGUAAUUUUCAAAAACCUUUUGAAACCAAGAUGGGAAUAGGGUUGUGGAAGCUAGCAAUUAAUAUCCCAUCAACUCGAUCACGCGGAUGAAAGAGAUGCAUGUGAUUCCUGAUAACUAAACUAUCAAUUGAAUUGGAAAGAGAUUGGAAUCAUUGAUUGCACAGGACAAAAAUAUUUGCAAUAGCGGCCAAAUGGGCUAACAGGAACAUACCCUCCUCCCUUCAUUUAUUCCCUACAAGACUUUAUGCAAUUUAAUGGAACCCUAAUAUUGUAGUUCUAGAAACAGUAGAAUCAAUGAUUUUACUUUUAGGAAGACGGAAGAGUUAGAGAAUUAAGUUGCUUGUUCGGCAAUCUUACGUGUGGUUCUUGUUGUCUAUCUUGCUUGAAAGGUUUUUGCUUAUUCACAAGUGUCAAAAUCACUUUGAAUUUCCUACACUCCAUCGCCGGCUCUCGAGGUUGACGACAUGAGAAUUUUCAAGUCUUUCCAGCCAGCCAAAAAUGCCACGAAUAAUCUUCUUUGGGUGUACUGUGUUCAUGCAUUCCAUCCUUUUGUCUAGGCAGCUUUGAUAUUUGAUUUAUUCUUUGCCUGUCCUACGCCACAUGUUCUUGAGAUAGGCUUGGACAAUUUCAAGUCUUUAUAUCUUCCCAGUCAUCUUGGGGGGUUCUCACGAGCUCCAUCUUUUUGCUUAAACACUAUUCUUGUCUAAAAAGUUAAUUUCCCAGUUGCAAGUUUAUCAAGAUUCCAUGGCCUCCACGAUUUGUUUGUUUUUGUUGUACAUGUUCAUUUCUAUGAUUGUUGAGGCUCAAAGUGUAGAGUUCAUCUUCAAUGGAUUCAAUGAAAGUGAAAAAAACCUCACAAUUGAUGGAGCUUCUAUUAUCAAGCCUAGUGGUUUACUAAGGCUCACCAACAAAACACAAUAUGCUGUAGGGCAUGCAUUUUAUUCCAAACCAAUACAGAUGCUUGACACAAGUUCAAAUUCAUCUCCAAAUGCUUCAUCUUUCAGCACAACCUUUGUCUUUCAGAUAGUCUCUCCAAAAGGAAAAGGAGGCCACGGCCUUGCUUUCGCCUUAGCUCCCUCCAACCAGUUUCCCGGGGCUGCCGCGGAGCAUUACCUUGGUCUUUUCAACCCUUCAAAUAAUGGUGAUAGCUCAAACCAUAUUUUUGCUGUUGAAUUUGACACGGUUAAUGGGUUCAACGAGAAUUCAGACACUGAAGGAAAUCAUGUCGGAGUCAACAUUAACAGCAUGCGUUCGAAGUCAUCGAGGGCAGCUUCCUAUAGAGAGGAUGACAACCCAGACCGGUAUGAAGAAUUGACGUUGGAGAGUGGUGAACCUAUUCAAGCCUGGAUAGAAUAUGAUGGUGCGGCUAAACUUGUUAGUGUAACAAUAGGUCCCAUGGAGAAAAGCAGACCGAUUCGACCACUCAUUUCUUUUCCCGUAGAUCUAAGCGCAGUUGUUAAGGAUAACAUGUAUGCUGGUUUCUCUUCCUCUACUGGUAAAAAGACAAGCUCUCAUUACAUACUGGGAUGGAGUUUUUCCACUGAAAAAGCAGGCGCCCGUCCGCUCAAUCUUUCUCUACUUCCCAGAGCACCAAUAUCUGAGGAAAGUUCAUCCUCUUUCCAACCCUCAGUGAUUGCUAUUAUCGCUUCUUUAUGCGGUGUGACCACUAUUCUGUUUGCAAUACUGCUCUUUCAUGCUGUGUACAGAAAUUGGCCUCAGUCUGAGGCUCUUGAAGACUGGGAAGUGGAUUGUCCGCACAGGUUUCGCUAUCAAGAUCUACAUACGGCAACCAAGGGUUUUAAAAAGAGUGAGAUAAUUGGGGCUGGUGGGUUUGGUGCGGUGUACAAAGGUAGAUUGCCUACAAACGGAAAUGAAGUUGCUGUUAAGAGGAUCACUACCAAUUCAAUCCAGGGUUUGAGAGGAUUCACUGCGGAGAUCGAGAGCCUGGGACGUUUACGGCACAAGAACUUGGUGAAUCUCCAAGGAUGGUGUAAGAGAAAUAAUGACCUCCUCCUGGUUUACGACUACAUCCCAAAUGGAAGCCUUGCCGGUCUCCUUUUCAGUCGGGGAAACAACUUUGUACUGAGCUGGGAGCAAAGAUUCAAUAUUGUUAAAGGCAUUGCAGCAGGGCUUUUGUAUCUGCAUGAGGAAUGGGAGCAAGUGGUGAUUCACAGAGAUGUCAAGUCAAGCAAUGUCCUGAUAGACGCAGGAAUGAACGGGCGGUUAGGGGACUUUGGUCUAGCCAGGUUGUAUGAUCAUGGAACCAUGUCGCACACCACAAAUAUUGUUGGCACGAUAGGGUAUAUCGCACCUGAAUUGGCACGGACCGGUCAGGCUUCUACCAGUUCCGAUGUGUACGCAUACGGUAUUUUGCUCCUUGAAGUGGCUUGUGGCAGAAAGCCCGUUGAAACGAGUAACUUCAUCCUGACAGAUUUCGUGAUUGAAUGCCAUCAAAAGGGUAGAGUUCUUGAUGCAGCUGAUCCAGAGCUGAACUCUGCCUUCCUGGUCAAGGAAAUGGAGGUGGUGCUGGGGUUGGGUCUUCUGUGUUCUCAUCACAAGCCUAAAGCCAGGCCAACCAUGAGAGAAGUCAUACGGUAUCUCAACUGGGAAGAAAAGCUCCCAGUGAUUGAUGAUCUGGGCUCUUCUGAUUCUCCAUGUAGGAGCACAAGAUAUAUGGGAGAGGUUUCCAUUGAAAUGAUCACAAGUUCCAUAGAUGUUGGCAGAUAGCUCAUCGCAGAAUCCAUCUUCCUCCUGUUUCUUCCUCGUCAACAGCCUUUUUAGCUUACAGUUUUAUGUACGUUGACAAGGGUUAAUUUUCAAGUCUUGUAUUGGUUCCAUCAUUAACCAUUUAUUCCCUCCCAAUAAUGCAGAACAGUACAUUGAUUCUUGACUUUGUCACCAUGAUUUUUGGUCUGAACUCAACUUGCAUGGGUUUUACCAAAAGCGCCGACACGUGGUUAUCCUAGUACAGUAAAAUAUUUAUCCUUUUAUAUUUUAAAAAUAUUUUAAAAAAAAUUGAAAUUAAAAUUUUUUUGUUUCAAAAUAUUUUUUUAAUAUUUUUAUAUUAUUUUGAUGUGUUGAUAUUAAAAAUAAUUUUUAAAAAAUAUAAAAAAUAUUAUUUUAAUAUAUUUUUAAAUAAAAAUUAUUUUAAAAAAUAAUUAUUAUGGUAUCAGCAUUUUAAUAAUUACAACAAUUGCUUCUAUUUUUUGACAAAGUUUUAUGUUGAAUUGGAAGUUACACUGAAAAUAAAAUAUAUAUGACCAAAUUAUUCUAUAUUUUAUUGAGUAAAAUGCAAUAGAUCCUGGUCUAAAAUACUGAAAAAUAAAUUUAUAUUGGGUUUGGAAAACACAGAUUUUCACUAGUUUUUCUCCAUGAAGUUUUCAAUUUUUUCAAAUAGAAAAGCUUAAAAUGAUCAAUAAUGAAAUUUUUAAUAUAUAUACAUGUAAAAUUAUUAAAAUUAUGUAAAAAUAUAUAAUUUUAUAAGUUAAUAUAUAUAUAUAUAUAUAAAAAUUAAAAAAUCAGGUUAAAAACUCAAAAAACUGUAAAAACUCGAUGAAAUCAAUAAACUUGGAAAUAAGGAUCAGGACUCUCAAGUAAUGAUGUAAUAUUUAUUCCUCUUUUUCUCUGCAAUGUAAGUUGUUGCUUCUUUUUCUCUGCAAUGUAAGUUGUUGCAUACAAUUUCUGCACUUCUAGAACGCUUUCUCAGCGCCCAAAAUCACCUAAUAAAUAUUCAAUAACCAUAAAUAUUUUACGGUGUUUGUUUCUCAGUAAAAAACAUGUUAAAAGGAAAAUAUUUGUUUGAAUCAUGCAUUAACGUAACAACUAUGUUAUAUAUAUAUAUAUAUAUUAUCAACAUAUUAAAAUCAUCUAUAAAUACCUAAAAAAUAUCAAUUUAUUAUUUUUUAGAUGAAAAAUAAUUUGAAAAAUACUUUAAAAAACAAGUUAAAAUACAAAAAUAAACAUUCUAUAGUUUGCUGUAAAAAUAGAUAUAUAAAAGAUAUUUUAAUAUAUAACAAAUUGGGCUGUAGAAAGUGUUUUUUCUAUCUUUAAACUUCAAAUAACAUGCUUACAAUUUAAUGAUUUUAUCAAAAUAUUCUCUUAACUUUUUUUAUCCAUAAGAAUUCUUUUGUUGUUUUAAUAAAUAAAAGCUACGUAUUGUUAUUGUUGCUGAUGUACAAUUAAUAUUAAUUAAUGUUAAUUAGUUACCGGAAAGAAAAGAUUUCAGUCGACAUUAAUUAUGCCAUCGACAGUUAUGGCCUGUGAAUAUGAUUCAUCGAUCGAUUUGUUGAUAUAGUAAUAAUAAUUAAUUAAUUUAGUGCAAUUAAUUAACAAUAUUAUUUAAGUGGGAAAGAUGGAUAAGAUUAAGAGAGAGUGAUGGCAACAUUUGCAGCCCAAAGUCUUCUUGCAUGCAUUGUUUAUGCCAUUAAUGUCCUGCCAUAGGAUCUCCGACAUGCCCCCUUAAAUCAAACAACAAAUAUAGCAUUGAUCUUCCCUAGUCUCUUAUCUUAUUCUAGUUGUUUGUUUAUGAAGGAGAUUAGGUAACGUUUUCCUCGGGGAAACCUUAUCCGAACCCUUUUUUUUUAAUGAAAUAUUCAUUACCUUUUUCGAGCUAGAAUUUGUCAUCAAACUAAUCCACAAAACGAGCACUCCCCUUAGUAAGUUAUAGUAUUAUUUUUAGAUUAGGUAAACGUUUUUGUAUAGAAGAGAAGAAAAUAAUGGAGAUAGACAAGACAUGUGUCUCCAUGAACUUCUAUUUCAAAAGAAUAAAUUCAUACCUAAAGUCCUAAAUUAUCCUAGACAUAUUUUUAUUUUAAGUUUUUGUCUCCUUCAUUCCAACCAAACAUGUUGUAUUCCUUUUAUCUUGGGAUAUCAAUCAAACAUAAUAUUAAUCAAUUAAAAGAUAUAUUUAGUAGUUUAAUCUUAUUAAUAAGUGAUCAAGGGUGGCAAAUCAAUCACAAACUAUUUGUCUUUUAAGAGAACAAGAAGAAAACAAACUGGUCAUGAAAUCUCAAAUUUGAAACCCAAAUUUGAGAUUUUGGUAACAAAUUUUUAUGACAAUUUGACUCUUUUUUUUAUUUUUUUGGCAAUGAUGCUCGAUCUCAAGGGUUGAGAUCAUACAAAAAGAGAUCCCUAUAAAGGUAGUAAUUAAUUUGGAUAUGAAUUCAGGUCUUCCCUUAUGAAAAAGAAAAGCAUAAUAUAUAGUGAAACUGAUCUACAAUACUCUAUUUUGGAUAAUAUAUGAUGAUAGUGUGUAGGGGUGAGCAAAAAAAUCGAGAAAAUCAGAAAAAAAAAAAAUUAACCGAAAAAACCGAACCGUAAAAAAAACUGAUUAAAAUUUUAAAAAAAUCGACCGGUUCGGUUCGGUUCGGUUUCGGUUUUAUAAGCUUGAAACCGAAAAAACCAAACCGAACCCAAACCGGAAAAAAACCAAGACAAACCGAAGAAAACCGAUCCAAACCGGAAAAAAACGAGCCAAAACCGAUCCAAACCGGUUAGAACCGGUUUGUCCUAAAAAACCAAACCGAACAGAAACAAGUCAUUUUUAACCGGUUUCGGUUUUUUUUAUAAAAAAAAUUUCGGUUUGGUUAUUUUUUUUCGAUAAAAACCAAACCGAACGGAAAAUGAUAAACUCUAAUAGUGUGUGUGUGUGUGUGUGUGUGUGUGAUUAUAUAAGAUCAAGUUGCUUCAAACUUCCAAACUUGUUAGCAAUCAUUAAUUAUUGGUGAGUAUGGAAUAUGGAUUCAGCCUAUAAUUUAGUCCUUAACUCUUCAUUGAUUGGUUUGAACUUUGAAUUUUGCAUGCCUAAAUACGUUGCCUAAACUUUUGGUAACUAAGAUAGAAAAGGCCAAAGCAUGAAUCUACCUACCUAUACCUAUACGUUAAUUAAUUAGCAAACAUAAAUUUAGUGUUUUGAACGUUGCAUGAAAUCUUGAGAAAAAUCCUUUUGACAAUAUUAUUUUACAAGGAAGGACAGCUUAACUAAAGUUAAUAUUAACCUUAAUUCGAUUGGAUAACCAUCAAUCACAGUAAAGAAAAACAACAAAUUAAUUAACUUCGUGAGAUUAAGAUGUGUUUGCCUCUGCUAAGACAGUGCCGGAUAAGGUGCAGAAUUUCAAUUAGACGGGAGAUCGAUCGAAUUCCUCAAGGGAAUGAAAAUUUGUCUUCCCCUAUUUUCUAUAUAUAAUCCAACUCCAUAAUUAUAGUUAAUGUUCUCAUCAUCAUCUAAGUUGUCAAACAAGGUGGUUUAAUUUAUCUCAGCCCUUCUUAGUUAGCCAAUCAAUAUGAGAGACUCUGAGUUCUUUCAGCUUCCAAGCCCACAAUGCUACUCUAACAACAUACAAGGGCAUGACUAUUUAUAUUUUGAACCAGCCAUGGAUGUUGAUAUACACCAUUUUGAGUCAUCUCAUCCUCUCGCAACAACUGAUUCCACUUCCAAUGAGUUGGUAGAUUUUCCUGUUGAUUCUGAUUUAAUGAAUAUUCACCGCUUGAUUUUGAGGAGUUUGAGCUCAUUUGGAGGGACCUAAAGGGUACUUGUCAAAGGGGCUCGAGGAAAGUUGUUCUUUUCAACCAUAUUCUAGUGAAGGAAAGGUGACCGAAAAAUGCAGCCCUAAACCAUCCACUAUUUGGAGUGCUGGUGCAAUAUCAAUAUCAACCAUGGAUGCUUCUUUGAUCCAGCAACCGCUAACCUUGCCAACAGGAGACAUGGAGAUCGAUAAUCAACUUAGUGUGCAUCAUCUAGUCAAGGCUUACAAAGAAGCCAUGGAGAACCAAGAGGCAGAACUUGCAGAAGUGAUCACGAGAAGGAUUAGUAAGAAAGUUGGUCCAACGGGGGAGAUAAAGGAGCGUCUUUUGUAUUACUCAUUUCAACCCUUAGACAAGGAAAUAGAUUAUCUUACGCAAGAAUCUGCUAAGAACUUUGAUAAGGCUUUGGAGGCAUUCUAUAAGAUUUUCCCUGAUGGGAUGAUUUCUCAUUUCACAGCUAACUCAGUCAUUCUUGAGGCCAAGCCUCGUGAUGCUGACGUUUGUCGCACGUCAAAAAAAUCCAUGCGGCGUCGGCUGGCGAUCUUUUUCGUUGUUGCGUUAUUUGCUUCGUUGGAGUCGCCACCUAGUAUUUAAUUGAGGGUUACUAGGAAACCCGAAUGUACUAGUCUUGUCAGAGAUUCGCGGGUAAGGGACUGGUUGUGGUUAGGGAAGGUAUUAGCACCCCUAACGCACUCUACCUGAGGUAAGCUGCUUCGUGACUUUGAUGUGUUAAAGAAGUUUUAAUAAUUGUCUUUUCAUCGGAUAUUAGAAAUACAACUUACAUGUAAGUUAAUAAAUCUUGACCGUGAUCCAAUCAAAAUAUUAAAUUCUUCUUUAAUCUCUUCUUUAAUCUUUACAAUUUUAUCUUAAAUAAAAAUAAAACAUCCAUAAAACAAAUACAAACAACACAUACACGUUCACUAUAUCUUUUCUUUUCUUUCCUUUUUUCUUUUCCCUUUUUCUUUUCUUUUCUUUACAUCCACAUUACAAAUUAUAAAAAUUCAACAACUAACAAACAUUACAUCAAACAUUUAGAAAUUACAAAACAGACCCCCACAGAUCCUUUACAGUGCAGGGAAGCCUUUUGGACCCGUAUGAACAGUGGCGGCGCGUCCUCUCCACGCGCCACCGUCACUGGCGGCGCGUGGGUUCACGCGCCGCCGCGAACAAGGCCGGAAAACGGGUGGAUCUGGCUCAGCUUCCUUUCCUUUUUCCUUCUCUGCUGGUGGUGACAACCACCGUCACCUGCAAUAACAGAAAACGCACAACACAGUCGAUUUUAAUUUUUGUUUUUUGUUUUGCAGAUCUGCUUCUCUGGUUCGGUUUUUUUCUGCAGCUCAGUGUUUUCUUUUUGUUUCCCCUUCUUCUCUGUUUUCAGGCGGGGGCUGUCGGCAGUUGUGCUUCUGUUGAGUCUGGCCGGCUGUGGGAGAUGAAGACUUGGUUCGGUCGGCGGGUUUUGUGCUGAUGGGGAGGAGAUCGCCGGGUCUGUGCAGUGAGCGGCUGGAGGAGCAGAGGAGGGAGGAGCGGCAGACCGAUCUGGGUCCGUGGGGGAAGCUGCUGCGGUCGGCCGCCGCUGGGUCCUUCGGUGGGAGGAGGCUAUGAACGGGACUCCUGCUGCUGCUGUGUGGUGCUCGCUGGAGCUGGGUCGGCCGAGAGAGGAAAGAACGGUGGUCGGCCGAGAGAGCCAGAAGAAGAAGGAAGGUGCUGGGAGCAGGGGAGGAAGGAGCGACGGACCGAUUUGGGUCCGUGAGGGAUGUUGCUCGGCUGCUGCUGUAGUGGAAAGAAACGGCUGUGAUGGAGAGUGAGCGGCAGCGGCUGGGAGAGAGGAGAGGCUGUCCGGUGGAGGUAAGGUGAGGUGAGGGCUGGAGAAGGGAGCAGCUGAGAGGGGAAGAUGACCGGUUGGGGAUGGCUGGAGGCCAAGGGAGAAUGGCAGGAAGAGGAUGAUGAGCGGCGGCUUGGGAGAACCAAAACCGUGGGGGGCGGCUCCUUUGUUAGAGAUAGGUUUAGCUUUAGGUUUAGGUUUUUUUUUUUUGUAUUUUUCUGAUGUUUCAAAAUUGCCCCCCCUUGUUUGAGUUGUGGACCAGUAUUUAUAGGUAAAAUGUUGCAUGGAUCUCAAAAUUGGUCCCUCAACUUUCUUUUUUUUGUAAAUUUGAUUUUUCUUAAUUUUUUUGUAUUUUUUUGAAAACGAGUAAUAUCAAUGUCGACUCAAUGAAGAAAAUCAAUGAUUUUAAAAAUGAUGCGUUAAAAGUUGAACGCGUUCCAAAUAUCUUUGAAAAUUUAAAUUCUUUUGAGACGAUGCUAAAAAUGAUAAAAAAAACGAUGCAAAUGUAUUAAAAAUGUAUUUUUUGGAUUUUCAAUGUUUUUCGCUAUUUUUGAAUUUUUUCAUGAAAAUUUAUCAAACAUGGGUCAAAAAUUGGGUAGCAACAACGUUCUACACAUAAUAGACUUUGAUAUGGGAGAAGGGAUGCAGUGGUCUUCAAUGAUCAUGGCUCUUGGUCGAAAACAAAAGGAGCUACAAGCACAACAAUACUAUGGUCAUAUUCCACACUACUCGACCCUAAAACUCACAGCAAUCAAGUGGAAAGACGAGGGUUCCGGUCAUUAUGUACCUUCAUGGAGAAAGUUCGAGGAGACAAAAAGGAGGCUACAUGAUUGUGCAAACCCCUUUGGUUUAAUAUUGGAAGUGGAAGAGGUGGAGCUACAAGAUUUAGCGAGGAAGAUAAAGGGAAAGAGAAAAGGUGGAGAAAGGAGAGAAUGGCUGGCCUUCAAUUGUAUGUGGGCUCUUUCCCAAAUGGCGAGAAAGAGGAGUAGAAGGCAUGUAUUGGACUUUGUUAGGACGGCAAAGGAAAUAUUAGCCAGUAUUUUUGUCUAUAGCAAUACUAGUAAUGGAGGCAUAUUAACAUUUGGUGAUGGAGGAGCAUGGGAAUUAUUCAAAGACUGCCCUGCUUUUGGAUUUUUCUUUGACAAUUGUAUGGAACAUUAUCAAGCCCUGUUGGAAUCAAUCGAAUGGAAGUUCCCUAGUUGCUUUAUAGAGGCGAGAAUAGCUAUGUGUUAGUGAACUGGCAUGCAAACCCGACAAGAUAAAAGGCAAAGGAUAGGAUAAAAUGAGAAAUGAGACACACAAGAAUUUACGUGGUUCACCCAAUUUGGCUACGUCCACGGGCAAGUAUAGAAGGAUUUUACUAAGUAAUGUGGGAAUUACAACCUCUCUCUACUAAUAGGAUAACAACUGAAAUCUCUCUAUUACUAGGAGAAAACACCUCACUUACUAUCUCACAAAUACCUCAUAAUUUUGUGGGAUUACUUUCCCUCUCUCACUCUCCUCUUCUCUCACUUGUAGUGUAAUAUAUAUGGCAAGGAUACACUACCUAUUUAUAGGCAAGCAUCCUUGCCUUUGUCUUGCAAAAGACGAGCAAGGCAAGUGGCACCAAUUGGUGCUGCAAGUGGCACCGAAUUGGUGCCCACUUUGUUGACUUAGCUUGCACCAAUUGGUGCCAGCUAGUUUCAUAUUCUCCCACUUGAAGACUUUGAUGAUUUAAUCAAGUCUUCACACUUGAUCAUUUGUAAUUCUUCUAUCCUUAUACUUGUCAUCUUCAUGCUGCUUACGUUUCUGCUAUGCCAUAAGAGGAUUUGCACCAUAUGUACUUGUUAGUGUUGACUGGUUUGGUCAAAGCAUCUGUUGGGUUUUCCUUUGUGUGAACCUUCUAAAAAUCUACACUUUCAUCUUCCACCACUUCGCGAACAAAGUGAUACUGAACAUUUAUGUGUUUUGUUCUUGAAUGAAAAGUUGGAUUCCUUGCAAUAUGCAAGGCACUCUGACUAUCACAAUACAAAUGAAUCUUCUUUUGUUUGUGUCCGAGCUCCUCCAUAAGUUUCUUCAUCCAUAUUGCUUCUUUACAAGCUUGUGUAGCUGCCAUGUACUCAGCUUCUGUUGUGGAUAAAGCUACAACAGUCUGAAGUUUAGAGACCCAGCUCACAGCUCCUUCUGCAAUUAUGAACACAUAGCCUGUAGUGGAUUUUCUUUUCUCAAGGUCGCCAGCAAAAUCUGAAUCAACAUAACCUCUGACGGUAAAUUCUUAUCCUCCAUAACAUAAUACGGUAUCUGAGGUACCCUUGAUGUAUCUCAAGAUCCUCUUAAUAGUAUUCCAAUGCUCUCUACCAGGAUUUGUCAUGUAUCGACUAGCUGCUCCCACUGCUUGUGCAAUGUCUGGUCUUGUAUAUAUCAUGGCAAACAUUAAACUUCCCACUACUGAUGCAUACGGUACUCGAGACAUCUCCAUCCUCUCUGCUUCAUUGCUAGGAGACAUACUUGAGGAUAAUUUGAAGUUAACUGGAAGUGGGGUGGAAAUUGGCUUACAAUCUUGCAUGUUGAAGCGUCGCAAGAUCUUCUUCAAAUAAUUCUUCUGAGAAAGCCAAAUCUUCCUCUUACUUCAGUCUCGGUGAAUUUGCAUCCCUAGAAACUUGUUUGCUGGUCCCAAGUCCUUCAUAUCAAACUCCCUAGCCAACUGUGCCUUCAAUUCUUGGACUCGAUCUUUGUUGGGACCUAUUACCAACAUGUCAUCCACGUACAAAAACAGAAUGAUGAAAACAUCAUUUUCUUCAAACUUCUUGUAAUACGUACAAUGGUCUGAACUGAGUCUGUUGUACCCAAGGCUAAUUAUGAAGGAAUCAAAUCUCUUGUACCAACACCUCGCCGCCUGUUUGAGACCGUAUAGAGAUUUGUUCAACCUGUAAACCAAGUUCUCUUUGCCUGUUUCAGCAAAACCCUUUGGUUGGAGCAUAUAAAUUUCUUCUUCAAGUUCUCCAUAAAGAAAUGCAGUUUUCACAUCUAACUGCUCUAAGUGAAGAUCAAAUAUAGCACACAUCGCCUAGACUACUCUGAUUGUAGUAAGUCGUACCACCGGGGAAAAUAUCUCAUUGAAGUCUAUUCCUUCUUUCUGAGCAUAUCCUUUCACCACCAAUCUUGCACGAUACCGCUCCACUUGAUCAUUGCCAUCACGUUUUAUCUUGUAAACCCAUUUGUUGCCAAUGGCCUUCCUUCCUUGUGGUAACGGAACAAGAUCCCAAGUGUUAUUCUUGUGUAGAGCUUCAAUCUCCUCUUGCAUUGCUGUCAUCCACAUAGAUACAUCUGUGCUUUUGAUAGCCUCAUGGAAAGUUGAUGGCUCUCCAUCCUCUGUUAGAAGAUAGUAUGCAAUGUUGCUCUCAGUAACAUAUUCUGAGUGCCAAGCCGGUGGUCUUCUUUCACGAGUUGACCGUCAAACUUCAGGAGUUUCAGACUCUAUUUGUUCUUGUUCUUCAUGCUCUGGUGCAUCUUCAGAAGAAGUAUGAUUCUGAGUAUUUUCCAUCUAGACUGUUGUAGUCUCCUUUAGAAUGCUAUUAUGUUCUUCCAUUUGCAUUUUACCUUCUGCAAAUAUGACAUCUCUGUUGAUAACUACCUUGUGGGCAGUGGGAUCCCACAAGCGAUACCCCUUCACUCCAUCAGCAUAUCCCAAGAAUACAUAUUUUCUGGAUUUUGAAUCCAGCUUGCUAACUUCUUGUGUAUUGUACAUCACAUACAUAGGACUUCCAAAUAUAUGCAAUCGAGAAUAAUCAGCUGGUUUUCCAGUCCACAUCUCCAUCGGUGUCUUCAGCUCAAUUGCAGUUGAUGGAGAUCGAUUUAUCACAUAACAGGCAGUAUUGACUGCUUCUGCCCAUAAUGACUUUCCUAGACCUGCAGCCUUCAGCAUUGCUCUUGUUCUUUCUAAUAAAGUUAUGUUCAUCCGCUCUGCCACUCUAUUUUGCUGUGGAGUGUAUGCCGUUGUGAACUGCCUUUUGAUACCUUCAUGUUGACAGAAGUUAUCAAAUUCAUCACUGGUAUAUUCUCCUCCAUUGUUAGUCCUCAACACUUGAUCUUCUUUUCAGAUUCAAGUUCCACCCGUGCUUUGAAAGUUUUAAAGACUGCAAGCACAUCUGUCUUCCUUCUAAUUGGAUACACCCAACAUCUCCUGGAGAAGUCAUCUAUGAAUGAUACAAAGUAUCUUGCUCCUCCCAAUGAUACAACCGGUGCUUGCCAAACAUCAGAGUGAAUCAGGUCUAAGAUGCAUUUGCUCUUAGUUGUUGAUGUGCCAAACUUCAACCUGUGUUGUUUACUUAUAACACGGUGCUCACAAAAAGGUAAAGUAACCUUUGUAAGCCCAGGGAGUAACUUCUGAUCAGAGAGAACUUUCAAACCUUUCUCUGACAUGUGGCCUAGUUUUUGAUGCCACGUCAUCGUCUUCUCUUCUGCAGGACUGGCUGAUGCGAUUGACGCUUCUGCCCCAUGAUGUGUUUCUCCCAUUAAUACAAACAUGUUUGCAACUGUCUUUCUUGCCUUUAAAACCACCAGCGCUCCUUUGACAAUUUUCAUUAUUCCAUUGUCUGUUCGAAUCUUACAGCCAAGACUAUCAAAUUGUCCUACGGACAAAAGAUUCUCCUUUAAGUCUUUCACAUGUCGCACUCCUGAAAUAGUACAAAUUAAGCCAUCAUACAUCUUCAAUUUAAUGGUGUCAAUGCCAGCAAUCUCUAAAGCAUGAUUAUCACCCAUGAACACUGAGCCUUCAGAGAUGGGUUCAUAUGUAUGGAACCAAUCUCGAUUAGGAGUCAUAUGCCAUGUUGCUCCUGAAUCCAUUAACCAGACCUCGGUGAGCUCUUCUCUAUUUGUAGAUAUUGUCGCUGCUUCACUAUAUAAACCAUCUCCAUCUUCUGAGGUGCUUGCAACACAUCCUUGAGGUUUUGAUGACUCUGCAGUAUUCUCUAUACCCUUUUUAAACCAACAAUCCUUUUUUAAGUGCCCUUUUCUGCCACAGUUGUAGCAUUUCACAAUCUUCUUACUUCUUGAUUUGGACCUCCCUUGCCUUUGACUCCCACUGGAGCCACGCUCCGUUGAUCUUCCUCUUGACACCAACAAUGCCUCUGCUUGGUUUGAACUAUUUCUAUCUCCUUUAUUUUUGCGUCUAUUUUCUUCUUCCAAGAUGGCGGCUGCAACAUCAUCAAAGACUAAAUAGUCUGUGAGGAUAUUAUUGGUCAAGUUGAUAAUGAGCUGAUCAUACGAAUCUGGAACACUUUGAAGUAGAAGCUAUGCACAUUCACUUUCCUCUAUUUGUUGACCCAACGUAGUGAGUUGUGAAAAUAGAGUCCUUAUUGUGUUGAUGUGGUCAGUCACCGCCGUGGUUUCUGCCAUUCGAAGGGUAUAAAAUCUCCGCUUUAAGAAAAUCUUAUUGUGCAAAGACUUGGACUUAUAUAGCUUUGUUAGAGUCUCCCAUAUCUCCUUAGCUGUUUUCUUUUUCACCACACUUGAUAAUACUUCAUCGGCUAAUGCUAAAUGUAUGUUAGCAAUAGCAUUGCCAUCCAUCUCAUUACAUUUUGCAUUAUCAGUGAUCUCUGCGGGCUGAUCCCCAAUUGCUGCCAAACAAUUGUCUUUCCUUAAGAUUGCCUUGAUUCUCAUUUUUCAGAGUGAUAAAUUGCUCCCAUUAAACCUCUCAAUCUCGUACUUUGCUGCCAUUUUAUUCACCGUGAUCUAUUCAGCUAUCACUGUUUCACAUAUUUGUAACGUAUACAGAAAUAGUAUCAUGUGAAUAAUAUUUCACUAAGUAAGUUCCCAGGAAAGAUUGGAGGGGUCACAAACGGUCCCGCUUAAAACUCAAUCUCCUUAGACAGAACUUCCUAGACUGUAUUUAAUCACCGCACUGACUUUCUAUAUACGCCAACAGUAACGUAUGUGAACAGUAUCGUAUGGAUGAAUAGUGUCGUAUAGGUGAAUAGUGCUGUAGACGUGAAUAGUAACCGUAUACACGAAUAACUUUUGUGUAUUAACAACACCAACCAAGAAGGCUCUGAUACCACUGUUAGUGAACUGGCAUGCAAACCCGACAAGAUAAAAGGCAAAGGAUAGGAUAAAAUGAGAAAUGAGACACACAAGAAUUUACGUGGUUCACCCAAUUUGGCUAUGUCCACGGGCAAGUAUAGAAGGAUUUUACUAAAUAAUAUGGGAAUUACAACCUCUCUUACUAAUAGGAGAACAACUGAAAUCUCUCUAUUACUAGGAGAAAACACCUCACUUACUAUCUCACAAAUACCUCAUAAUUUUGUGGGAUUACUUUCCCUCUCUCACUCUCCUCUUCUCUCACUUGUAGUGUAAUAUAUAUGGCAAGGAUGCACUGACUAUUUAUAGGCAAGUGGCACCAAUUGGUGCUGCAAGUGGCACCGAAUUGGUGCCCACUUUGUUGACUUAGCUUGCACCAAUUGGUGCCAGCUAGUUUCACACUAUGGAGUGCCUCUUUGUUGCACCUUAUGCCUCUUCUAGGGCUUGGAUACAAGAGUGGGAGGAAAUAGAACAGUGUUGCGAUUUGAAGGGUUGCGACUAAGCAAUGAGAGUUUAUUGGAAGCAAAAGAAAUGGUGAGAGAAGGAGAGGCCCCAUAUACAGUGAGGAUUGAAGGAGAGAAUUACAAUGAGAUGGUCUUGGAAUUUAGAGGAACUCGAUUGAUCAAAUUCUCUGCCUGGAAGUUAUGAUGUACUUUAGUUUCUUUCCAUAUUUUUCAUUUUAAGUAGCUUUUUUCACUCAUUAUUCAUUUGAUUAAUUUGUGAAUAUCAAUGUAAUAUAUAUAAUUUAUUAUUUUAAUAGAAUAUUAUUGAUUACCAACAAAGUUGUAAUCCAUUCUUGAUUAGACUGACUUUCUUAGCUCUAAUGCCCUUAUAACCCAUCACUAUAAAUUAUUUUUUAUGGAUUCAGCACCCUUCAUCAUCCCAUGACAUGCCAUAAACUAUAUAGGAACAAAAGAUUCAUGCUUGCUUUUUCAAAAAAAAAAAAAUGAUGAAGUGUGGUAGCGAUUGAUUUUUAAAAAAAAAAUCAUUUAGAAAUACAUCAAAAUAAUAUUUUAUUAUUAUUAUUUUAAAAUUAUUUUUUAUAUCAGUAUAUCAAAAUAAUUUAAAAAUAUUUAAAAAUAAUUUUAAAAAAAAAAAAAACUCAAAUCUUGUUGAAAUUUUAGUGUCUGUGUCAUGGGCCUAGCGUAGCAGUGUAAACGCAGCCCUCUUUGUCGCUUCUACGCGUUCCUGGGCUAUCAAAAGUUGAAAACUUGCUACGUCAAGGUCAACGCUAAGGCCGCUGACUUUAUAAUGAUGCUGACUUUAUAAUGAUAAGAUUAUUAAACAAGGAAGAGGAAGUUUCUGUCUAGCCUCCAAGCAAUUACUUAUUUAUUUACCUUUUAAAUAUAUCAAAUUAAAGAAUAUCAGCUCAAUUAUGAUAUCACUAAUCAUGAUUAAUUAGCAGAGCUACAGUUUCCAAAUUAGUCAAAAUGUUAUACACUACUUUCCACUAAUCAUGAUUUUAAUUAUCACCAUAUCUCUUAUUUAUUUAUUUUGCUUUUUAUUAGUUUUUAUAUUAGUAACUUUUGUUUAUUUGUUAAUUACUAAUUGAAAUAAAAAAACACAUAAAGGAAUUAUAUUUACUUGGCAAUAUAAUUUCUACUCCUGCUACGAAUGGGACUUUUGGUCACUCGAAGAAGCAUCAUUGAAAUUUGUUGUUAACGAGAUAUGAAUGAAGGGAUAUAAUUUUUUAUAUAUUUUUUUCUAUUGAUAUAGCAUAAAUGCAGAUAUCAAUCGGUCUGUUUGUGUCUUUAAUCACGUAAAAUUUAUCUACAUGUCAUAGUUUUUGUUAAAAAAAUAAUAUAAAUUAUACUUUGAAUUUUAUCUAAAAAUUUAAAUUUUUAAAUAAGAUAAUUAUUUGACAUGAUAUCAAAGUCUUAAUAACCAAGCAGUCACAAGUUCGAAUCUUAUUUUUCUUAUUUAUUUAAUAAAUAUUAAAGACAAGUUAAUGUGGGUCUGUAUAAAUUUUAAGUUUAAAAAGUUUUUACUCGAGGAUAUAUAUUAAAAAUAUAUAAAUUAUUUAUAUUUUAAAAACUCACUUAAAAAUUUAAAAACUAAUUAUGAUAUAUCAUAUUUAGAGGACUUCUAUGCGUUUGGACACGUAAGGAGUUAUUUAUGACAAAAUUAAAAAACCUGUUUCAGCUGUCUUUUUGUUAGAAAUCUUGGGAAAACGACUAUUAAGUCCUCCAAUUACAAUCCUACAUCAUUGAGCCCUCAAGUAGUAAUUUUUAUCAAUUUAGUUAUUAAAGUAUGCACUGUUCUCAAUUAUAGCCUUAUAUCUAAAGCUUCGAGAAAAACAAAGUCAAAGUAAAUCGUCUUUUUUUAUUGCAUAAAACAUAUAUGUUGACAGAGUUCGUUAACGAGAUAUGAAUGAAGGGAUAUAAUCGAGAAACCUGAAUAUUUUCAGGGUCCAAAUGUGGAAAUUUGGGACUUUAUUCAGAGAUGAUUAAUUGUUUGGAGAUUAAUUUGUUAUUUGCCCCUCUCUCUGUUUUUUUUUAUCCUUGCAUAAAAUUUGGGACUUUAUACAUAAAUGUCGAGGAAUUUCUCAAUUCCAAUGUGUUAAUUAGAGAUGAAACAAAACAAACAAAAUAUACCCCAUUUAGAUUUUAGCAAGGAAAACCUCAAUUUCUCCCAAAAUCUCAGUUUAUCUAUUAUUCUAGCCAUUUUAUUUUAAUAUUUUAUAUUUUAAUCUUAAACUUUAUUUUUUUUAUUUCAAUCUUUAUAUGUUAAGAAAUUAAAAAAAAGUCGUUGAACAAAAUUUAGACCAGAGAAAUUGUUAGAUAGCUGCAUUCUGAUCACUAAAAAAAACUAAUCUUGGUGAUAAUAAGUUUUUCUUUUUAAGAAAAUCCAAUGGAAAUGGUGCCGUACUUUAAUCAUGCUUAAAAAAAUAAACAAAAAUUCUUAAAUUAAACAUGCUUAAAAAAAAAUUUAUUUAUUUAAUUAUUGCUUUUAGAGAUUAGAAAUCAUUAAAAGGUUUGAAUAUAGAUUUAUUAAGAUUUUAAAGAUGUUUGACAAAUUAAAAUGUCUUUUUUUUGGGGAAAAGAAAAGCUAGAGAGGACAAUUAAUCAACCAAAAGCACGUGAUUUGUUUUUGAAUCUCGGCUUUUAAAAAAAAAACUUUUGAUUAAUUUUUUUUAUGUGAGAUUUUAAUUAUUACCCUAUCUCUUAUUUAUUUAUCUAUUUAUUUUGCUUUUUAUUAUUUUUUUAUUUAAAUUUUAAUCAAUAUCCUCUCACUUAUUUUUUAAAUUUUUUCAGUUAAUAUUUUAUAAAAUAGUAAUUAUUUUUUUAAUUUUAUAAUAUUUCAAAAAGAUCAUUACAAUUUAUUUAUUUAUUUAUUAUAUUUUAUAUAAAUAGAUUAUAAUUAUUUAGUGCAUUUAUAAAAAUAACAAUCAUUUAUUCUUAGCAACCAAAAUUAACCUCUAGAAUAAAAAAAAUAGCCAAGAUUAGAUAUUUGAAUGUGCAUGUAUCUAGUGCAUAUAUGUUUGUUAUUAUGGUGUAGUGUGCUUUUCAAAAAUACUUUUUACUUAAAAAUAUAUUAAAAUAUUUUUUUUACAGAUAUUUUUAGUUUUUUACAUUAGAACAUCAAAACUAUUGUAAAACAUUAAAAAUUCAAUUUGAUUUUUUUUUCAAGUGAAACGCACCAAAAGCAGAAACUACCAUAUUCUCAAACACUUUCUAAAGCUUUUUUAUUUAGUAUUUAAUUAGCGUUAACAACUAUUUUUAAUUUAUUAUUUCAUACUUUUUAUCAAAUACUUAAUUUGUUUUAUUAAAUAUAAACAACAAAUUUUUUUUCUCAAUUAAAAAAAAAUCAGGAUACCCACCACCAGCAUUUUUAAGAUGGGAAGAGGGUUGUGCAAAAAAAAAAUGGAAAGAGGGUUGUGCAAGCUAGAAAGCAUGCAAUUAAUAUCCCAUCAACUCGAUCACGCGUAUGAAAGUGAUUCGUGUGAUUCCUGAUAAAUAAACUGUCAAUUAAAUUUUAAAGAUAUUGGAAUCAUUGAUUUUACUUUUAGGAAGAAGGAAGAGUUAGAGAAGUUGCUUGUUGGGCAAUCUUUCGUGUGGUUCUUGUUGUCAAUCUUGCUUGAAAGGUUUUUCCUUGAGCAAGCAUAUUAAGUGUCAAAAUCACUUUGAAUUUCCUACACUCCAUGGCCGGCUCUCGAGGUUGACGACAUGAGAAUUUAAUUUCAAGUCUUUCCAACCAGCCAAAAAUGCCACGAAUAAUCUUCUUUGGGUGUGUGUUCAUGCAUUCCAUCCUUUUGUCUAGGCAGCUUUGAUAUUUGAUUUAUUCUUUGCCUGUCCUAAGCCACAUGUUCUUGAGAUAGGGUUGGACAAUUUAAAGUCUUUCUAUCUUCCUAGUCAUCUUGGGGGGUUCUCACGUGCUCCAUUUUUUUGCUUAAACACUAUUCUUGUCUCAAAAGUUAGUUUCCCAGUUGCAAGUUGAUCUUAACUAUCAAGAUUCCAUGGCCUCCACGAUUUGUUUGUUUGUGUUGUUCUUGUUCUUUUCUAUGAUUGUUGAGGCUCAAAGUGUAUACUUCAUCUUCAAUGGAUUCAAUGAAAGUGAAAAAAACCUCUCAAUUGAUGGAGCUUCUAUUAUCAAGCCCAAUGGUUUACUAAGGCUCACCAAAAACACAAGAGAUGCUGUAGGGCAUGCAUUUUAUUCCAAACCAAUACAGAUGCCUGACACCAGUUCAAAUUCAUCUCCAAAUGCUUCAUCUUUCAGCACAACCUUUGUCUUUCAGAUAGUCUCUCCAAAAGGAAAAGGAGGCUACGGCCUUGCUUUCGCCUUAGCUCCCUCCAACCAGCUUCCCGGGGCUGCCGCGGGGCAUUUCCUUGGUCUUUUCAACUCUUCAAAUGAUGGAAAUAGCUCGAACCAUAUUUUUGCUGUUGAAUUUGACACGGUUAAUGGGUUCAACGAUAAUUCAGACUCUGAAGGAAAUCAUGUCGGAGUCAACAUUAACAGCAUGCGUUCGGAAUCAUCGAUGGGAGCUUCCUAUAAAGAGGAUGACAACCCAAACCGGCUUGAAGAUUUGAUGUUGGAGAGUGGUAAACGUAUUCAAUUUAAAUUUUAAUCAAUAUCCUCUCACUUAUUUUUUAAAUUUUUUCAGUUAAUAUUUUAUAAAAUAGUAAUUAUUUUUUUAAUUUUAUAAUAUUUCAAAAAGAUCAUUACAAUUUAUUUAUUUAUUUAUUAUAUUUUAUAUAAAUAGAUUAUAAUUAUCUCAUUACAUACUGGGAUGGAGUUUUUCCACUGAAGGAGCAGCCCCUCCGCUCGAUCUUUCUCGACUUCCCGACGCACCAAUAUUUGAGGACAGUUCAUCCUCUUUCCAACCCUCAGUGAUUACUAUUAUCGCUUCUUUAUGCGGUGUGACCACUAUUCUGUUUGCAAUACUGUUCUUUCAUGCUGUGUACAGAAAGUGGCCUCAGUCUGAGGCUCUUGAAGACUGGGAAUUGGAUUGUCCACACAGGUUUCGCUAUCAAGAUCUACAUACGGCAACCAAGGGUUUUAAAAAGAGUGAGAUAAUUGGGGCUGGUGGGUUUGGUGCGGUGUACAAAGGUAGAUUGCCUACAAACGGAAAUGAAGUUGCUGUUAAGAGGAUCACUCCCAAUUCAAUCCAGGGUUUGAGAGGAUUCACUGCGGAGAUCGAGAGCCUGGGACGUUUACGGCACAAGAACUUGGUGAAUCUCCAAGGAUGGUGUAAGAGAAAUAAUGACCUCCUCCUGGUUUACGACUACAUCCCAAAUGGAUGCCUUGCCGGUCUCCUUUUCAGUCGGGGAAACAACUUUGUACUGAGCUGGGAGCAAAGAUUCAAUAUUGUUAAAGACAUUGCAGCAGGGCUUUUGUAUCUGCAUGAGGAAUGGGAGCAAGUGGUGAUUCACAGAGAUGUCAAGUCAAGCAAUGUCCUGAUAGACGCAGGAAUGAACGGGCGGUUAGGAGACUUUGGUCUAGCCAGGCUGUAUGAUCAUGGAACCAUGUCGCACACCACAAAUAUUGUUGGCACGAUAGGGUAUAUCGCACCUGAAUUGGCACGGACCGGUCAGGCUUCUACCAGUUCCGAUGUGUACGCGUACGGUAUUUUGCUCCUUGAAGUGGCUUGUGGCAGAAAGCCCGUUGAAACGAGUAACUUCAUCCUGACAGAUUUCGUGAUUGAAUGCCAUCAAAAGGGUAGAGUUCUUGAUGCAGCUGAUCCAGAGCUGAACUCUGCCUUCGUGGUCAAGGAAAUGGACGUGGUGCUGGGGUUGGGUCUUCUGUGUUCUCAUCACAAGCCUAAAGCCAGGCCAACCAUGAGAGAAGUCAUACGGUAUCUCAACUGGGAAGACAAGCUCCCAGUGAUUGAUGAUCUAGGUUCUUCUGAUUCUCCAUGUAGGAGCUCAAGAUAUAUGGGAGAGGUUUCCAUUGAAAUGAUCACAAGUUCCAUAGAUUGUGGCAGAUAGCUCAUCGCAGAAUCCAUCUUCCUCCUGUUUCUUCCUCGUCAACAGCCUUUUUAGCUUACAGUUUUAUGUACGUUGACAAGGGUUAAUUUUCAAGUCUUGUAUUGGUUCCAUCAUUAACCGUUUAUUCCCUCCCAAUAAUGCAGAACAGUACAUUGAUUCUUGACUUUGUCAUCAUGAUUUUUGGUCUGAACUCAACUUGCAUGGGUUUUACCAAAAGCGCCAACACGUGGUUAUCCUAGUACAGUAAAAUAUUUAUCCUUUUAUAUUUUAAAAAUGUUUUUAAAAUUAAAAUUUUUUUGUUUCAAAAUAUUUUUUUAAUAUUUUUAUAUUAUUUGAAUGUAUUUAUACUAAAAAUAAUUUUUAAAAAAUAUAAAAAUAUUAUUUUAAUACAUUUCUAAAUAAAAAUUAUUUUAAAAAAUAAUUAUUAUUAUAUUUUCUAUCGUAAGCUAUUUAAGUUUAUGAACUCUAGGGAAGGCUCUUGGUCCAGUAUUUUAAUAAUCACAACAAUUACUUGUCUUUAGCCAGAAUUUUAUGUUGAAUUGGAAGUCACACUAAAAAUAAAAUAUAUAUAACCAAAUCAUAAGUAGAAUAAUAUUUUAUUGAGUAAAAUGCAAUAGUUCCUGGUCUAAAAUACUGAAAAAUAAAUUUAUAUUGGUUUUGGAAAACACAUAUUUUCAAUAGUUUUUUUUCACGAAGUUUUCAAUUUUUUCAAAAGGAAAAGUUUAAAAUGAUCAAUAAUGAAAUUUUUAAUAUAUAUAUACAUGUAAAGUUGAACAAGUUGACCCAUAAAAAUAUAUAAUUUUACGAGUUAAUAUAUAUAUAUAAAUUAUAAAAUGAGGUUAAAAACUUAAAAAUCAAUAAACUCGGAAAUAGGGAUCAGCAUCAUUCUUGCCACUUUCUUUCUCCGACAAGCUUACUCUGUCUUCUUCAAGAGGAGAGGGUACUGGAACGUAAGUUGUUGCAUACAAUUUCUGCACUUCUAGAACGCUUUCUCAGCGCCCAAAAUCACCUAAUAAAUAUUCAAUAACCAUAAAUAUUUUACGUGUUUUACGGUGUUUGUUUCUCAGUAAAAAACAUGUUAAAAGGAAAACAUUUUCAGUCAACUGUAAUAUUAAAAGAAGGGAAGUAAAACAUUUUCCCUCUGUCAACUCUCUCGGAUCUCCUCACUCACUUCGCUCUCUCUCUCAAUCCGGAUACCAAAGGUACUCGUGUGUAUAAUACACGAGUACCUUAGAACAAUAUAAAAUAUUAAAAUUAUUUGAGAUUUUCUUUAUUUGAGUUAAAAAAUAUUUUUUCCUCAUGAUCAUUUUCAAUUAGAACAAAAUAAAAUUGAGAUUUUAUAAUUAUAUCAUCCAAGAUGACCACGACUCGAGAGCAUGAAAGGAGAUGAUACCUUAAAAAUGACCACCGAUUAGUGGAUACAUUAAAACGAACCAGAACCAGAGUACUACGGCGCUUGCAUUUGACAACAUUCUCUCCUAUCCCCACUCAGAGCGGACGGAUUACCAAAAAUCGUAAAGAUUUCACAUCCUUUAAGACCUUUUUUUUUCCGGGUUCCCUCACAGCCUACCCAAACUAGAAGGUGCCUAUUCUAGAUGUAGUAACCAAUGACCAUAAACAACUUUUACUCUGAAAGCUGAGCUCCAUCUCAUGAAACAACGCGAGCGAUCAUCACUUGGGUCCAGUUUGCAGUCUCUUUGAGAUGUUCGUCGUCGGAUUGAAGACACUCGCCAAGAAAUUGAAUGCAGAAUGCGUUGUCUUUGAACAGUAUCUUUGUGUUAGGACCAAGAGCAUCCGCCAGAUCACCCAUCACGGCAACUGCUGCUUUUGUGACACUCUCAUCCCUGCAAAACAAGGGAACAGCACAUUAGAUACGAGAAAACAAAUGCAGUGCCGGUUAUAUCAGGGUGAGGGGGGAUGGAGCGGGUGAACCUAAGAAAUGAAAGAGGAAAGGAUACCUAUAUUUCUCUCUGAAAACCACUUCUAUGAACUGGAAAAGAUGACCAGCAUGUGGCAGCAUCAACUCAGGCUUGGAAUCUUUGAAUCCCUGAAGAAUACCAGAAUAAGCUUCAAAUAUGCUACGCUUAAGCUGGUUGCCAUAAUCCAUCAACUCCUCAUCACUAUUGUCCAUCUGAGCACAGACCUCAGCAGCGCUCCGCAUCAUUGCUACUGUAGGCUCAACGUACUUAGAGAAUUGCUCACCUAUCCCAAGAGCAACAUCACCAAAGCAGGCAAAUAUUGGAGGCUUAACUGACCGGUGGAGUUCAGCACUUUGGAGAUUGCGGACAAGGUGGUUCAUGAUCCCAUCACAGUAAGGUAAGACCUUGUCCUCCAAUGCACGGCAAAUGUCACCAAUCACCCCAACUGUGAUGGCACAAACCUCAUAUUCCUCAAAAUUCUGUAAUCCCAUCUCCAGGUACUUAUAUAGCUCAGGCAUGUACUUCUCAAAUUCUGGACCAGAGGCAUGAGCCAGUGCACCAAUUGCAAGCAUUGCUUCCUCGUGCACAGUAGAUCUGCGGCAAGCAAAAACCCUGAGGAACAGAAACAUAAUUGUAUCUGCAGCCUGAAGUAUACUGGGCUUGGUCUCAUCAGUGCUGCUAAGCUUUUGGACAAUCACCUGGAUAACAGCACAAAGGGAUGCUUGCAAGUCCCCUUGCUUCUCUCUAUCGUCUGAUGAGACAAUUUGAAGAUCUAUAGUCUGCCCCAACUUAUGCAAGACGCUUUUGAGCAGUUCCAAAAUAAUUUGAGAUGUUUCCACAAUAUUGGACGACCUAACAACCUCGUUCAAUGUUUCAUAAGCAGAAGUCCUGAUCUUAGAAUCGCUCCCAUCUGACCGCUCAGCAGUUUUGAGAAGUUCAGAGAUUAUCCUAGGGAUGUAUUGAGUUAGAAGUGAGGAAUUUGUUCCAGCAUCUUCAUAUCCCUGUGCAAGGUAAUAGAUUGCCCCACAAACCUUCUCAGCUACAUUUGGAGCAUCAUUAAUACUCUCCAGCAAGACAGUUACAAUCCUUUCCAGGUUCUCUGGGGAAACCACAGAAAAUCCACUGGCAGGACAGUGCAAAAACUCAAAAAUACGACUAAGAGCCCAUGCAGUUGUGUCCUUAACAUGAUUAUUUUCAUCCCUCAUCGCAUUAAGCAGAAAAUCCAAGCCAUUAGAAACAAGCGGACCUAAUGUUUCAAGGCUAGGGCCUUCUAGAAUUGAGCCAAAUGCAUAUGUGGCUGCCUCACGACAAUGCCAAUCUGGCUUCAGAAUAUUACCCUCUACAAAGGGCAUUACUAGUUUCACAACAGAAUCCCCAACAGUUCUAGCAACAAGACCUAGACAGGUGCCCCCUGACAUGGAUAUAUUCCAAAUGCUAUCAUCCUGAUCCUGAUCCUCCUCCUGUUUCAACAAAGUAUCCAACAACAAAGGAACAAGAUAUGGGAGGGCCUUUUCUAUGAAGCGUGAAUGAGUAGACCCCGAAUCUCCACCUUCAAGGGUCCCAUAUUCUUGAAGCUCUAUCUCUUCAUCACAAAUGGAGCUCCAGAAUUCUAUUGCUUGGAGGGCAACACUCUCUUCAUCCCCUUUCACAGCAUUUGAUGUGAGCUGGAAGAGGGUCUGCAUAUAAGGUUCAAGCACAUCAUAGUAUGUUGACGCUAUAGAAACAAGACACUCAAAAGCAGCCUGCCUGAUAUCUGCCUCUUUAGAAAUUGCUGUCUCGCAUACCACCUUCAUUAUGUAAUUCCGCUCCAUAUCAUUUUCAAAGUUGGUCUGAGCAAAAUCUAAGGCAUUAUAUAAGGCCUUUGUAGCAGCAAGGCGUACUUCACAACUAUGUUCAGCAAGGUUCAUGCCUUGGACAACAGCAGUGAGAACAGAGUUCACUUCAUCCUGCACAAGAUCCUGGUGGGAUAUCUCCUCACAAACAUAUCCAAGAGUUUCCAAUGUUGCCUGUUUCAAAGCUGCAGGACUAUCUUGCUGGGUCAUAUUCUUAAGCAAUGAUCCGAUAAGCUCAGGCCACUGCUUCCGUGGAAUCUCAAUGGAAGCAACUUUUGCAAUUACUUGGGCAGAAGUGUGUCUUGCUUCUGAUGCAGAUGACCCAAGAGUCCUCAGGAGCAAGUCUUUGAUUUGUGCUUUCAUGGAAAUUUCAAUUGCCAUCCAUUGCUGAACAAGAUGUUCCUUUCUCACAGAAUCUUUAGCAUCUAAAGAGUUUUUAAGAACAAUACCAGCCAACCUACGUGAUUCCAAAGGCUUCUCAUUGUUUGCAAGCUCCACUGACAAUGAUAAGAGGAAAAGGGGCAAGCUCUGCUCUUGGAACUGCCUAAGACUAGCCUCUGCCUGAGUACGGAUAUUUGCAUCUGGUGAUUGGGCAGCCAAUAGAAACUGAGUGAUCUCCAUUGCCAUUGCUUUCAACACUGCAAGCGAAUAAAUAACAUGAAGUUCUAUCACUGAAAACAGUAACAUUAAAACAAACAUCAAUAAAACAAAAAAUUGAGGAACAUGGAAAAAUACAAAAUGAAUAGAGAACAAAAUUAUUAUAAACCACUACAACAAUAUACGCACAUGGCAGCAACUAACUCUAAAAACAUCAAAGGAUCCAUCAACAAGAUUAUGCAUUCAGUUCCAUCCACAUAAUAUCAUACUCAUUUCCACAACUUCAAAAUCAUAUUAAAAUCCGAGCUAAUAGACAGAUAGAAUCGUACCCAGAAAACAAAUGAAAUUCUAAAAGAACUUUGAAAAACCAUAUAAAAAAAAACAUUAAUUACAACAAUGCCCCAUAUCAUAUACAUCGAAGGCGGUACACAAUUCUAUAACCCAUGACAAAAUACACACACAUCAUCCAUUACCUAUAUGAUAUUAUAGGUAGAACCUCUAAUUUUCAACCAGAUUAAUCAAAACAGUUCCAGACAUAUCUUACUUCACUUACGACAAUAAGCUGAUUUCAGCAACUAAUCCGAACCAGCUGGUUAGCAAAAUCAGAUCAAAUAACAACAAUUCACAACCUUCUUUCACUAUAUUUACAAAUUCAAAAAUUAUUAUUAUUAUUAUUAUUAUUAUUAUUAUAAAUUGGUAAAUCAAUAAAAACUACUAAAAUUUGUAACUAGAAAAUUUUAAUUUUUAAUCACUCGCUUAAAACAAUAAAAAUGAAAAGACUUCCGAAAUUAAACGCUAAAAUAAAUACCUUAAAAAAAAAAAGCAAAGAACACAAGCGGUUAAGGAAAAAGGAUUUUUGUUUAAUUACACAAGCGAUUUUGGAUUUUGUGGCAAAACUGCUCCUUUUUCAAUGUUAGAGAGUAAACACAAAAUCCAAAACAAAAAAUAACUGAACGAACUAAAUAUCUGAUGAAACCCUAAACAAGAGUAAGUAGAGAGUAAAACCACAAAAUCCAAAACCCUAAGCACUAACUGAACGAACUAACAAACACAACAGAUCUACUGAUUAAACCAAAAAUAAAAUAAUACCUUAAAUCUGAUGGAACCGGAGAGAUCAGUAUCCGUAAAGUGAGAACAAAGAGCGUGACCUUCUCUUCUCUUUCUUCGAUGAAGCUGGGGAGAAGCGGAGAGGGAGGAGAGGGAUUGGGUGUUGUGGUUUAGUGGUGGAGUUGAGUGAAGAAACUGUUUGAUUGAUUGAUUGAUUGAUUGAUUUUAGGGUUUUGGAGGAAAUGAGAUGAGUACUGUUGUGAUUAUUAUUACUAUUAUGAAAAAACUUAUUUUUUUUAAUUUUCGAAUGGGAAUGAAGAAGCGGGAGGCAGGGGAGAGAAGAGGGGUUUUUAGCGUGAAAAAAAAAAAAAAAUCCAACGGGCAAGGGUUUUGUGGCUGCCCGAACACUGCCCGGGAUCACCGACUUCAAAAACCCUAGCUUUGUUCUUUUUUUGUUUUUUGAAUUCUCUCACGUGUGAGGGAUGUCGCGCGAGUGUUGCAUCCCCAACGUUUAAAUCAAUUGGGCUUGCUUGGGCUUGCAUAAGUGGGCUUUCAGGGUACUUUUUGGUUAACAUUUGCUGAGUUUUAUUUUUCAGGGAAUUAAUAUCACUGGGAUUUCUUUAGAAACAGUUUGGUAACGGAACGAUAUUCAAGUCAAAAAUAGUGUUUAAAAAAUAAAUAAAAAAUUAAUAUAUUUUAAAAAAAAAUUAAAAAUAACCAUACUUCUAAAUAUUCUAAUAUAUUUGAUCUAUAUAUAAUAAAAUGAUUUAUUCCAUAUAUUUUAUAAUUUUUUUAUUUGAGUUAAAGGAUAUCUUUAAACAAGAUUAUAUGGGAACUAAGAUUAAAUACUUUCUCUAAAUGGUUUUAAAAAUACAUUUGUCACAUUAUCUAGAGAAAUUUAGGGCUUGUUUAGCCACUACUUUUCGACCUUUUAAUAAAAUAAAGAGCAAAAAAAGUGUUUGCUAAGAUUUUAAAAAAUCACCUCCUUAACGUUUGAUGGUGAAAGAUAAUUUCUAUAAAAUCAAUUUAAGAAUAUAUUAGUAUACACUUCAAAAAUCACGGAAAGUGAUUUGUUAGUAAAUAGUUUGUUAAGUUUUAAAGGUUUUUAAAAUAUGAUAGUGGUUGUUUUUUUAAGUAUUUUUUGUUCUGAAAUGUAUUAAAAUAAUAUUUUUUAUUUUAAAAAAAUUACUUUUAACAUCAAAAUACUUUGAAAAUAUAAAAAAAUAAUUUUAAGCAAAUAAAAAAUUCAAAUUUUGAUAAAAGUUUGAAAUGUAAUUCCAAAUAAUAAUACCUUAAUCUAACAACGCAAUUAUGGGUGAUUAUUUCCAGUUCGAUUUUUAUAAAAAAAAAAUAAGCAAGUUGGUUUUUAAAAAAAAAUCAAAACCGAACUGUAACCGGUUCAAACCGACCGGUUUUGGUUUUGGUUCGGUUAUUUUAUAACAAAAACCCGGUUCAAACCGGUUUGACUCGGUUUUUUCAGGAUUGGCUCGGUUUUUUCAGGGUUGGCUCGGUUUUUUUCCAGUUUUGAUUCGGUUUUUUCGGUUUCAGGCUUAGAAAACCGAAACCGAACCGAUUGAUAUUUUCAAAAUUCUAAUCAGUUUUUUUUCACAAUUCGGUUUUUUCAGUUAUUGUUUUUUCAAUUUUCUUAAUUUUUUGAUUUUUUUUUUCACCCUUAAACGCUAUACAACGGAGCAUAACAUUACAAACAUAUUAGGAAUCAAUCAAGCUCCAAAUAAUUUUUUUUUGAUAUCGGGCUCAAGGUUUGAAUCUAAGAAAGGAGGCCAAGUAAGAUAUUUUAUAGUAUUUCACUAAUUUUCAUUUAAGCUUAGAGUUUUUUUUCAAAAGAAAAUUGAAGAAUUAUUACAUUUCAUGAUUUAUUAUAUUUUAGUAAAUUUAUUCAAUCUAAUAUGAACCAUAAUUUCAAACCCGGUAUUAAUAACAUGUUUAGUAUUAUAGUAGUGAUUGUUUUAAAUGCUUUUUAUAUAGAAAUAUAUUUAAAUAAUAUUUUUAUUUAUUUUUUAAAUUUUAUUUUUGAUAUCAACACAUCAAAAUGAUAUAAAAUCAUCCAAAAAAUUAAUUUGAAGCAACAAAAAUUAAUUUUUUAAAAAAAUACUUUUAAAACACAAAAACAAAUAGAAUAUAAACCUAUUAACAUAUAUAAUAAAUUUAAAAGUGAACUUGGACAAAUUAGCAGAUGCAAUUUGUUCAAGCUGCUCUCUUUUUGAAUCACAUAAGAGUAAGGGAAGGCAACAUGGAUGUUGCUAUGAGUUUAGCAGAUGCAAUUUGUGGGGGAAAUCCAGGCUACCAAUCAUGACACCAUUUAUGGAAACAUAAGAGCAAUGAAAAUCUGUAACUACAUAUACAUCAAAUAUCUUUAUGUAGAUCUCUCAAAGGCCUAUUAAGUGAACAGAGUUUCUUUUGUUUUGUAGAACAGUACUGAGGCUGGACAUUUGGUGAGACUUGUCUCGCAGGACUCUUUACACCACAGAGCUUGUGCUUCAAGCGCCAAGGGAACAGGAGUUCCAGGCCACAACCUUUAUGUGAAGCCUCUGAUGGAUGUGAUUGCCCUACUGUUCUUGAGACGUACUCCUCUGAAUAAUUGUAUGGAUAUGGGAGCUUCUUGUUGAGAUUACUGAACGCGCAAAGUGCAGAUGAUGCAGCUAAUGCAGUGGCAUCCGGCAGAAACCGCUCCAUCAUGAAAUUUAGAGACUGGCUAUCAGUUGCGUUCACACUCUCUAAAUUUAGCCUGUCUAGUCUGUGACCAUCGUUGGAUUUCUGGGCAAUGUCUAUUGCUUCUGUCAAUGACAAAACAUCUAUGGCAUCUGAAAACACGUCAAUCUCUUCGCCAUCGCCAUCGUCAUCGUCAUCAGCAUCAGCAUCAGCAUCACAACCAUCAUCAUGAUCAUCCAGGCUGACGAAACAAUUGGGGUCGCCAUUUUUUGCUGCUUCAUUUUGUAGAUGCCAUCUGCAUGGUGGGAGCCUCGGCUGAGGAGUUCCUGCUUCAUGGAUGUCAUUACUAUCCCCGUCCUUGGGCUUGCCAGGAGCUUGUUCCCAACAAAAUGGGAUCCUAUCACUCGUAUCCUGUAAAGCAGCCUGUGACUUUGUUGCAUAACAGGUUUCUUCCUUACCGGCGUGGCCACCCAGCCGCCUAGUCGAUAAGAGGGGCAGGUUUAAGUUCAGCUUUCUCGGGCGAUUGACAUCGAUCCCUUGUUCACUAUUUUCUUCCAUAAACACACUAUUUUCUUCCAUGAACACAACCGGUAGUUUCGUUGAAGUAGUAGAAUGCACAUAGAAGGAAAAGAGAAAGAUGAAGGAUGGAGAAAUGUGAUAAAAAGUUGUUGGCUGAUAUUAUAAAAAGGCAGUUGAAACUAUGAGCAUCUCGUGCAAUCAUUUACACCAGCUUUUCGACUUUUGAAAUGCUCACAGGCAAAGAUAGGAAAGACCCUCUCUCUCACUUUAUAGAUUGGAUUGAAGGAGUAGUUCUACACCGUCAGUGUUACUUUCAGCAAUCAAGUAUCCUAGCUGGUAUAUCAAACUGUACGUAUGGCUUCCAAGUGUCAGAAAUAAUGUACAUCUUGCAAUGAAGUUCUAGAAUCUGAAAAAAGAUGUGUCCUGUGGAGAAGGGAAUAAGUAAAUAAGUAUUGAAACAGAGACAUGGAAUAUUGGGUAUGAAUUAUGAGAAAAUUGUGAAGCACAGAGAGCAAUACAAGAGACAUUACAGUAUGUUUUGGCAAAAAUCAGUUAAUCCAUAAACCUCUUGACAAGAGAAGACUUCAGCAUAAGCUGCCAUUCAUGUACAUGUUUCUUUCAACUAUAAUACAUUCAUUUCAAUCUUUGCCGAAGAGAAAUAUUCGGCAGUGGCAAGAGAGCAGCAGUCUGCAGAAUACAUACAUUCUUCGAUAGCAAAGCAAAGCAAAGCAAAGCAAAAUGCAGAUAUUACAUAAAUUUACAAGUUACCCCAAUCUCUACUAUCCCUUUCUUGUUAAAUUCAAAGUAUCCCCUUCUUCUUCUGCUGAACUUCCCUUCACUUAAGGCCACGGGGAUGUCUGCAUAUCUAUGGAGAAAAUCCCGAAAAAAAUAAUUUCCCUGAGGAACACUGGCCUUCCUAGUACCAAAAACAAGAAACAGAAGUGGCAAUGAUGUGAUUGCCCGGAUAAUAAAGAUAACAAGCAUGGAUUUCUGGCUCUCAUUUUUCUGGUUCAUUUCCCCGUUCCCGUGCUCUCUUAUAGAGCUCAAUGGUACCAGUGUGAUUGGGAUCAAGACAGAGAGCUGCUUCACAGUCUCUAAGGGUGCAGCUAGUAUCGCCCAUUGAAUCAUAAAAUGCUGCUCGAAGAUGCAGCAGCUGUAAGUCUGGCUUGAAAGCUAUGACCCUUGCAAGCUCUCUUAUGGCUUCCGCUUCUUUGUGAUCAUCCAUUAAAACUGAAAUGGCACAACAUUAGUUUUAGUAGUUUAAAAAUUUAAAUGUGUAUUCACUUGCAUAAUCCACAGGGAAGUCUGAUGACUACACAAAAAGCAAUGAUAAUCCCAAUAGCUUAAUUUAGAAGAAAUAGCCUUUCUCGUCUACUGCCAUUCCUCAUUUUUUUAAUUAGAUCAGUAGCCAAAAUAUGCCCAACUAAACUUUAAGUCAACAGGAAACAUGUAUACUGAAAAAGGAAGAAAUAAAACCAAAAUAACAACUUUCUUCUAAUAACUUUGAAGCAAAAAUCAAGUAAUUUUCAUCUGGAUUUUGUUAAUAUUAUUUAACAAGAACUGUAACCUGAAAUAAACAAACAAAAAAAAAAGGAACUUGGCCAUGUUUACUUCAGAAGCAUAUCAGAUCAGCAGUGGGAGCAUGAAUUCUUCAAACUAAACAAAUACAGUCCUUCCUUUACCAGGAUGAAAUUCGUUAUUUAAUUAAACUGGCGUUUGACUAUAGAUGAAAUCUCAUCUAAUGGAAACAACUUUGAGUCAGUCAUUCUAGUCACGCACCCUACAAUUACAUCAAUAGGCAAAAUUUAAAAUGUAGGAGGAUGCAGAAGGUGCUUGGCAGCCCAACCAUAUACUUAGCACAAAGUAGGAGACUGGAUUUUCAAAAGUGAGGAAGCCACGGUUCUAUUUAUAUGAGCAAGAUCAUAAAGAACAACCAACUCGGCAGGGUAGUAUUUCCUGAUAUUGGAAAGUAAAGGAAGUUGACCAAAUAACCAGAACUCUUAACCAUAAGCAUAACAGAACACCCAUUCUGUCAUCCUACUUCUUGUGGAGCUAAAUCCAACAAAACAAAUAACAGUUUUUGAGUUAAAAGAGCCAUCAUUAGGGAUCUCAAGACGCAGCUCUCGUCAAAAUUUAUAAAGCUUUUAAAACUCUAGUAAACUAGACAAACCACUGAUCUUUUGCCAAAUGCUCACAUAUUUCUCCUAGGCAAUCAGCAUAAGAACAGUAGUGAUGUCUUUCUGUCUUUUUCAUUUUAACGAAAACUGAUUCCUGAUGACAAGAGGGGGAUCCUUUGACAGACCACUCUAACAGGCAAAGAAUCUCCAACAAGAUUACAUUCAUUCCUCCAGCUUAUGAUAAUAUAAUAUUGAGUUAAAACCAGAUUGAACAACUUUCAGUCAAGAAUUAGAAUAUCCAGGCAAAUUUAACACCCAAAGCUUCAUAAGUUUAGUGGUUGGUAUACAUUUGCAAUAUUUAUAGCAUAAUCACUAACUUAUGAUUGUCAAUAACAAUCUCAAAGAGAGCAGAUGUAGUCAUGGAGCUUACCUGCUGCCCUGUAUCUGUAUGGGUAUGUCCUCAAUGGAUCUAGUUGUGUUGCUGUGCUAAGAUCACUCUUUGCCAUGUCACGAUCACAGUACUCUGAACGCUUCUCAUAAGCUGAAGCAUUAUUCCUUGCUUUCUCAAUCAGUUUUGUCAUCUCAUCAUAUGCAGCUUUCCGUUGAUUUUUUAGAUGAUAUACACGUGCCAGACCUUGAUGUGCUCUUGUAUGCUUGAUCUCAAGUGCGCUCAUGUAACAGUCAGCGGCAAGAUCAAACUUCUCACAGUCAACAUAUACACUCCCUAGAUUGUUCAGUGCCUGCAGAACGGACAAAAAAUAUCCAACUUAAACAAUAUUGUGGAGCAUUCAGAACAAUAGAAUUGCAUCAAAAUUGAAACUCACUUGUCCUUUCCGGAGGCCAUCUGAAGGGCACCUAAGAGCCUCCUCCAAAAGUUGGAUAACAUACUUUGAGGACUCGGGAUCAAGGCUUGAAUCUGCUAAAGCAUAAGCUUUAAGGAAAAAGGCUUCAAAUGAUCUCUGAAUUGAAAUAGACUGCUCAGCCUUGGAUAGUGCUUCUUCACGGUGCCCAGUGUCAUACAAGAUCCAUCCUUCAUAGACAAGUUUCUCAUGGUCGGAAGUAGAAUAAUUUCUAGCCAGCCGCAAACUUCGCAUCGCAGCCUUUUGACAAUUUAGCCUUUGACAUUGAGAAACAACAAGACUCCAUUAAUACAGAUAUAUUUAUGUCCUAGAAUUGAUUAUCCACAUAUAGCAACUGUAUAUAUCACAAAGACAUUGUCUUUUCUAUAUACCUUUUUCCUUGGUACCAUUGGAUGUUAAAGAGACUGGGAGGUGGAAAAAUGUUACCAAAAAUAAAACAGAAAGAGCACUUAACACUUUAAGAAAAAAGCCUCAACUUGCAACUAAACCAUUUAUAUUACUAGCAUGAAAACCUUGUGGACAUUUGUUUUAAAUAAACAAAUUAUGGGUGAACGAGAAAUUGAUCUCAAAAAACCCUUGAUUUUACCACUCAAAGAACUCUUGGUUUUUCUAGAUUUAAUUAUUGAUUUAUGAUGGCUAAUCAAUAGUUGAUAAUGGUGGGAAUUAAUUCUUAUUAAUUUUUCAACCUUUUAGCUUCUAGAAUUCACUAUAAAAAGGGGGAUGAAGGAAGAGUUUAAACCAAGAAUUUUUCAGAUUUUUACACUCUUCCCCACCUCAUAUUUUAGCGUUUUAUUCUGAUUUUAUGCUCUGGUUUUCCUCUCAAAUCUAGAGCUUAUGUUCAUAUUGUUGAGAGAUAUUUGAGUUUCAUAUUUUUUUGUUCAAAGACCUUGGUUUAGAAGAGCAUCUAAACCAAGGUAAUGUAGUUGGAAUCUUGAAAAACAUAUCGCAUACAUCUUAGUUGCACAAGUGAUAAGCAAUAAAGCUUUAAGGACAAAGAAUUCAUCUUUGACAACAACAAAAAUCUCAUUAUUUUAACAAGUACCCUUCUUUGUUUUAAUUUAAGCAUAUGUAUUUUUAUUAUUAGUAUGCAAGCUAAGACUUUGAAUUAAUAUCAAUUAUAAGUUUAGAUAUAUGUUUAGUAUGCAGUAUUAUAUUUAUGUUGAAAACAUGUUUGCCAUGAGUUAUUAUUUUGCAUGCUUAUAAGUUUAAACUUAUAUGAACUCUACGCUUUCCUUGAAAACUUUGUUAUGUUUAGCAUGCCUUGUGAUGAUAAAGUAGACAUCAUUUCUUACUAGUCUAAUAUAUAAAUAUCUACAAAAUUUGAUCUACAAUCAAAACUAAUAAUUAAUGGUUUAGUUGUAAAGCAAGAGGGAAAAUUUCCAUCACAUCUUUACAGGUUCUGAAGAUAGAUUUUAUUGUAAAAACCUUUCAUGACAAAGAAAUACUUCUUUCCAUAAAUCUUCUCUGUGCCUUUGCAAUUUCAACACAAAUUCAGAAUCCUUUCCCAGUUUCUAAUUGAGGAUGGUGGUCCAAAACCACUUCAUUAAAAACAAAGUCAAACAGAUAAGGAUUUUGAUAGUAAAAUUCUGAGAAUUUUGAUUUAAUUUGGAAGGUAUGCAUGAGUAGAGUGUUUCUUUCCUCUUUUCUCUAAUUUGUCUUUUCUUGUUCUUCUUUAACUACAGUACAUAUAUUGUUCGCUGGACAGCCCCCAAAUUCCCUUCUUUUUUUUCUUUUUAACUGGCUUCUGAACUCAUCCAAUCAUUAAAUAAAUGUUAACCUAUAUUUUCCAAAUCUUUCCAUGCUAAUUAAACUGUUUAAGGAAAACCUAGAUCUCAGGGUUAAGUUUCUGCCCAGAAGUUCCAACAAAGUUGUUCCUGUCCUACUCUCUUUUGAACUUCGAGAUCUAAAAAGCCUCCACUUUUUUAAAUGUUAGCUGAUCAUAAAGCACUUCUUUGAUUAAAAUUCAGUCUAAAAUUAUCAAAAUACAUGAUGUUCAUUAGAAAACUUUAAAUAGCAUAUAUCAUACUAGAGCACAAAAUGCAUUAUGAACAGAUAGAAUUAUAAGUGCUUAAUACAGUUAAGCAAAGUAUUGAUGGGGUAUAUGAAUUCUCACCGUAAAAGAAGAAGAGAUUGUCGGAACCAUAGAAGGCUCUUCCUAGGGUCAUUUGCCAGCAUUUGGUGUACGACAGCAAGGGAGCCUAUAUCGUCAACAGAGGACCAUCUAUCAUACAGUUGCAUCCAGCAGUCUGCCUGACUGUAUUGCUGAACCAGAGGACGGAGGAGUUCUACUAGUUGGUCACCAUGCUUCUUCCCAUAAAACAUCAUGUAAUUUGGAUCCAAAGUCAAAAGAGCACGGACAUCUCUUAGGGCUCCUUCAUAAUCCUCCAACACAAUGGAAAUCCAGGCCCGUAAUUCAAGACAAUCAGGAGAGACUUUGAAACCAAUAAUUUUAUUUAGUUCUGAGAUAGCUGAUUCAAGUUUGUUCUCCUGCACCAACAAAACAGCCCGACACUUGUAUGGGAAUGAAAGUGUUGGAUCCAAUUCAGUUGCUGUAUUCAAAUCCAUCAGCUUCUCCUUUCCAGUACAAUAUAAAGACCUCUCUUGGUACAUCCACCCAACUGGUGUAUGAUCAGAAAUCAGCGAGUUCAUCAUCUUGUAUGCUGAAUACUUGUGCCCGCGAUUGUAUUUGGCCCUUGCAACACCCACCGACGAGUAUAUAUGACCUGCUUCAACUGCUUCUUCGAACCAUUUCUGGGCAUCUUUAUACUCUGUUCUUUCGAGCAUAACAACACCUAACUGGUGAUAGGCAAGCUGUUUCUGCCAAUCUUCGGUGGCACAUUCUCCCAGUCUCUCCAAAAGCAUCACAGUGUUGUUAGAUUUCAUCUCUUCCUCCAUAGCAAUCUGGCUCAGAAAAUAAUACAACAAAAAUGAAGCAUGGCCUACCGAAGCCAAUCUCUCCCUACCCUCAGAUCCACAAAACAGUUUCAUCACAUAAGGAUUGUGCAUUGAAAAUGGAAGCUCUCUCAAAAUCACCUGUAAACAAGCUGCCACCAAAAGAUACGCACCCUCCUCCAAUCCAUACUCAAUUAGCAUCAUGGCUUCCUCCAUAUCACAAACCAAAGAUGCCAAAUGGGCAUCACAAGCCGACUUCAAUUCCUCACAGCAAAACCUGUUUGCCAAGGAAAGAAGCUCUAAAACAAUCUUUAGUUCAAACGAACCCAAUCUUUUUGUCCUGCUAAAUAUCAUUGCCGCCCUCAUUCCCUCUGCUGAUAUCCCAUUCUGCGAAAAAUUUAUCUUCUCCCUCCUUGAUUCUUUAAACUCCCCAUACAACAUUGAUCUAAAAGGCCUCGAAAGCGACGCCACAUUAUACCUCACACCCCUGAUCUCAUCAUCACCAAUACAAAAUGACAUAUCACAAUCAUCAUCAUCACCACCACCGCCUCCAGCAGCCUCAUCGAUAUCCGAAGUCGAGCAUUCUCCUCCGUUCCCCAUCAAAACACCCCCCUCCAGCUCCCCUCUCGAACACACGCAAGGAUCAUUCACCGAUUCCGGAUCAUACCCCGGCACCAAACAAGCCCUAGGGCAUUCUAAAUUUCUUCCACAACAAUCCAUAGCCGACAAACCAAUCAACUCAUCCUCCCUCCUCUCAAACCUCAACCACGAAGCCAAAACAACCUUGGAAUGCACAUCCACAGCAUGCUGUCUCGCACCCCUUAGACUAUUCCGAAACAAUUUCGGAUCACAUAAACCCUUAAACACCGCGCAUUGUUCUAAAAAUCUCUCUGAUUUCUCAAAUUGUGAAGAAUCCUCAACCUUUUUAUAGACAGCAGCUAAUGAUUCGACGAAAUCCACAGAUUUAAGACACGGCUCAAUAUGUGGCUCCAUGAGAUCAACGGUCGGAGAACCAGCUGGCAAUAAACUUUCGACUGAUACAUUAGUUCUUGUUGUCUGAUUAGUCGGUGGAUGCGAAUUUCGACUCGAUUUCGUCCGAAUCGAAUUCGCUCUUAGAUCUUGCAAGUGUUGCAAAAACUUCUCCCCGACCUUACCACCACAGCCGCCGCCGCCGCCUUCACCGCCGGUUGGAUUGAUAGCAUAAACUUGAGUUCCUUUACAUCCCUCCGGGAAUUUCAAGCUACGCAUUGUCGUGAAUAUAUUGUGUUGCAUUUUUAUAAAAAAAUCACCAUAAAAAUUGCCAAAAAAAUCUUUAAAUAAAGAAUAAAAUAAAAGAUCUGGAAAUUUAUAAGCAAAAGUGUAUCUAGAUUACGUCGUUUUAGCCUGCAAAUCCACCGUAUAAACAGAAAUGGAUACCGAAAAUGGAAAAAAAAACAAAAACAAAAACAAAAAGGAGACGGUGGUAGAUGCAGGCUAAUGGGAUUCGAUUUUCCCAAUAAAGUGAAAAGAUAAACUAAAAAUAAAAAGUUUUGUAAUUGAAUUGAUUUUUUUUCUUUUUGUGUUCUUCUAAGAGAAUAUAAAAAAAAUGAUUAUGUUGGCGGCCAACCAGAUUUUGACGAGGUGGAGUGGUGACCGUUUAAACGGCCACUCACUCUCUUUUCUUCCUUUUUUUUUUUCUAUUUAAUGUACAGAAUUCUGUGUUUUAUGUGUUUUCUACGUGUGAGUGUUUUUUUUUCUUUCUAAUUUUGUACUUAUAUUUAGGAUGACAAAAACAAAAGGAGGGAGGGGAUUGGUGCUUGUUAAUUAACUGGAAAAAAAAAUUCAUUUCCAUUUUUUGGUUUUUUUACUGAUAAAGAUUAUAAAAUAUAUUCAUUUAUUAAGAAUAAAAAUAAGCUUUUCAUAGGAAAAUGAAAAAAAUGUAUCAAGAUUAAAAAUAUUUUUCAAAGGAUAUAUAUAUAUAUCCUAAAUGUCUAAUUAGUAAUAUGGUUAGGAGUGAUUUGGGAAUUGCAGUUUGAUUAAAAAAAUAUUAAAUUCAUAUAUGUGAAAUAAUAUAAUUAGCAUGUGAAUGUGUAUUUGUAAAGAAUUCUAUAAAUUAUUUAAUUCCUAGUAUACGAAAACCAAAGGGGAAAAAUUAGGGCAAACCAUAUAAUAAAUUUAAUAAAACCAUAAUAUAAUUUUGCUAAAUAUGAUAUGAUAAGGUGGGAAAAUGUGAGAGGCGUACAAUCUGUCUAGUAUUGUUAUAGUAAUUAUUUUUUAAAAAAAAUUAAUAUUAAUAUAUUUAAAAAUUCAAAAAAUUUAAUUUUUUUAAAAAAUAUUUUUCAACUAUAAAAAUAAAUGGGGCAUUAUUAAUGCUGUUUAGAUUCAUGAAAAAGUAAAAAAAAUUAUUUAAAAUUUUAUUUUUAUAUUGUUUUAAUGUAGUGAUGUGAAAAAUAAUUUUUUAAAAAAAUAAAAAAAAAUAAUAUUUUAAUAUAUUUGUAAAUAAAAAAUAUUUUCAAAAAUAAUUACUUAAAUUGUUUUUGAUUUUUCAUGUAAUGUACUGGGAGAGGGCGUCAUUAUCCUUCCGGUACAAGAGGAAAGCCGCUAAAUUAAGGGCCGUCUUCUUUUUUUCCCUUCCUUUUCAAGCUAUCAUGUCCUUCCAAAAUCUUGUUGUUUCUGUCAUUAUUUGUUGUUGCUGCUGCUGUGGGGUAAAUUAUAUUUUCAGCUAUAUAAAUGAACCAAUGUUCUACUCAAGACCCUGUAGUUUAAAUUCCCCCAAAUGUGCCCUUGAUCUUUACAUGUUUAAUCUAACCUAUCUACAAGACUGCCAGCUCCUAGUGUUAUUAAACUUAUGACAUAACCCGAGUCGAGUUUUAGAAAGAGAAGAUGGGAGUUCGCAUGGUCAAAUCCGGACGAUAAAGCAGGUUAUUUAUUUUUAUUUUAAAAUAAAUAAAUAAAAUGAUAUUAUUUUAACUGAUUAAAGUUAACUCGUCUAACUUGUACCUCAAAUUAUUAACAAAUCGAGUUUAAUAAUUUUGCAAUCGCUUUAUUUUUAAAUCUAAUUAAGUAUUUACAAGAAAAAUACAAGCAGAAACUAAAGGCGAAAAGAAUGAGAGAAAGGCCAUUAGACGCUUAAUGGCCACCCAGCAAGGACUAAUAUCGAGAAUACCUGGAAACAUUAAGAUUAAUAUCAUGAAAUUAAGACUAUAUGAACUGACAUGGAAUUUUUAAAAAUCUAUAGGGAUCAAAAUGUAGUUUACUUUUUAUUAUUUUAUUAGAGCAAAAUCCCUCUCUGGAAUCUAAUCGAUCAAUCAUGGGUUGGACCCAUGAUUUGCCAUUUCACUCUCAUCUGAAGCGCGUUGAUGGUUUCAAGAUAACAGUUGGCUAAAUUAGUUUAUUAUAUUUCUUUGAAGCAAAAGUCUUAUAAGUCCCCAGCAUAUCUCAAGUUUCUAAUUGUACCCUUAAUUCAAAAAGAGUAAUGUUAAAUAUAUAUUUAAAAUAAUAUGAUAACAAAGAGCUUUAAGAAUACAUGUAAAUCACUAAAUUAGUGAAACUAUAAAAGGAUUUUUUUUUUAGAUUAUAAUCUAAAAAUAAAAAUGUUUAUAUCCGUUUAGUUAUUGUUUUGAAAUAGAAAAAAUAAUAAAAAUAGAUAGAAUAUUUCUUUUUUUAUCUCAUAUUUUUUUAAAUUAUAGAAAUUCAUACUAAGAUUAUCUCAUAAACAAAUUUAUUUUAUAUCCUUCUUUUUAUUUUUCUAACUAAAUAUAUUCUUGUACUUUAUAUAUUAUUUUAUAUAUCUUGGAAUAUUGGUCAUAUCUUAAUUUUUUCUAUUGACUUUUUAUGUUCAACUUCGAUUUUAUAUAUUGAAUUUAACAUAUUAUAUAUAUAUAUAUAUAUAUAGAAAGAGGAGUGGAUUUAGCUGACUAUUUUCAGAAUUGAAGCUUGGGGGGUAUGGCUGAUAGUGAAUGCUAGAAAUUAAUAAUGGGAUAUUGACAAAAUAAAAGGUAAGUCCAAGAAAAUUAACGUUAGUGACGCGGUUCGAUUUAUUUUUUAAAUUAAUUUUUAUUUAAUAUUUUAAUAAAUUGAUAUAAAAAAUGCAGCAUUACAUUACCGAUCAAUUACUUGAAGUCUUAAACCUCUUUCCUAAGAACUCAUGAAUAUUUAUAUAUUCAUUAGUCAUGAUGAUUUGUACGAAAAUAGAGGCAAAAUGGUCAACCCAUUUGAAAGCCUAUCAUUAGAGUACAUCAUCAGGAUGGCAGUCUCAACGGGCGGCGGAAUAUCUUUUGAGGUUGGUUUAUUUUUAUAUUUAAAAAAUAUUUAAAAAAAUAAAAUUUUUAUUUUUAUUUUAAAUUAAUAUUUUUUAUAUUUUUAUAUUAUUUUGAUGUGCUAAUAUUAAAAAUAAUUUUUUAAAAAUAAAAAAAAUAUUAUUUUCAUAUAAUUAAAGCAAAAAACACUUUGAAAAACAACUGUUAUCGUACUUUUAAAUACCCCUUAAACGAUAUUUAAAAGUGGAGUACAAUUAUUUUUUAAAGUUUUUUUUAUUGAAAAAGUAUUAAAAUAAUAUUUUUUUAUUUUUAAAAAUUUAUUUUUAAUAUUAACACAUUAAUUAAAAUAAUUUUAAAAAAAUCAAAUUAAAAAAUCAAAUUUUAACUCAAAAAAAUAAUAAUAAUUAAAACUAACUUCCAAAUUGUGCCUCUCUAAUGACGAUCCCUCACCAGUGGCAUGAGAACAUACGAAAGUGCUUCACUCGGUCUGAAAUGGACCAAAGGUUUAGUGAAACUGAACAGUGUUUUUUUAUUAAAAAAAAUGUUUUUUAUUUUUUUAUUUUAGAUUAUUUUGAUGUCUUAAUAUUAAAAUAAAUUUAUAUUAUUUUAAUAUAUUUUUAAAUAAAAUACACUUUAAAAAAAUAUUAUUUUAAUUUCAAACACUGUCAAAUUAAUUUACUGAUCACCUGGAAGCUUUCAUUUGGAUCCAAGUAUCUAAGACCCUAGUUGAAUACACUUAUUCCCGGAGUACAUCAAAAACCAAGAAAUUUUUCUAGUGAAAUAUGUUCAUCCUUGUGCUGGGGCAAUAUAUUCCAGAGAAAAACAUCACAGCUAAUUUUUAUUUUUCAUAAAUCAAGCUUAAUUUGGAGAGAAAAAAGAUACUAUAGUAUAUGAGUUGAAAAGCAGCCAUUUUUAUCCUUAAAGCCAUGGCAACUGCUGGACCAACCUCGGAUUUCAUUAUUAUUAAUAUGGUCUACAUUUUUGUAACGACUCGCUACUAUUUCAGAUAAAUUUGUUUGAAAUUGUAGUAGCGAUAGCGGUUUAAAAUAUUUUUCACUUAGAAAUGCAUUAAAAUAAAUUUUUUUAUUUUUUAAAAAUUAUUUUUGAUAACAGCACAUCAAAACGAUCUGGAAAUAUUAAAAAAAUUAUUUUAAGCAAAUCAAAUUCAGAAUUUUUAAAAACACAAUUUGCACCGCGUUUCUAGACACUUUCAAAAGAAGAGUUUUAUGAGAGUUGAACAAGAGUUAUGAUUGAAAUGUAUUCUCUAUCAAUUAAGUGCUGGAAAAUACAAUCUAUUCAUCCAAGAUUGCUUCACAAUCGUUAUAUAUAGAUAAUAUCUAAGAAUAAUAGGGGUAGUCAUAGAUAUAGUUAAGUUAGGUUUAAAUUUAUAAUUGUAUUCAAUCCAAUUUUUGAUAUUUAUAAAUUAUAAAUCAAACACAUUCAAUUUCUUUUUAGAUCCGAGCGGUUUGGAUAUAUCAGGAUAAAUUAAUUUUUAUAUAGAUAUUGCAAAUAUUCAUGGUUGGGCUUAUAUUACUAAUUUUCAUGAAUUCACAGCAUUGAUUAUAGAUAUCAUGACAACUUAAUGUUAAGUUUAAUUUUCAUAUCUUGUACCAUUAAAUUCUAAUUAUCUUCCUUUUUUAUCUAUUAAAAAGACAAGUUUUUUUUUUUUGUUACGCUAAAAAAAUAUAAUAAGAAGUCUGCUACAAAAACUUUGGAUUCGAAACAUUUAUAUAUAUAAAAAAUACUUAAUUUAUAAACUAUUAAAUAUAAAGAUAAAAAAAAUAUAGGAUAUAAAGUUAAAUCAGAUUUAUCGGGUUAUAAAAAUUUUAAUCCACCACCCGUCCAAUAAUAUUCAGUUCUUAGAUUUUUUUUUACUCAUCAUCAUCUAUAAUAUCUAUAGUAUAUAUUGAAUCAAGUUAAAUAAUGCAGUUGCCAUUCCAUGAUAAUAGAAUUCUUUUCCUUUGUUUUUAUGCUCCGAGCCUCUUUACUGGCAUGUGUGUGUAUGAUGAAAAAAUCAUAUAAUUUUUUUAAUAUAUAAUUAUUCGACCAUCUUUCAUUAGAUACUAGAAUAUUCAUCUGUAGUAUAUGUUGUGGGUUAGAUUUUUUUUUUUCUAAGCUUAAAUUUUUGUUCAUUAAAAAUAUAAAGAUUUUUUUUGACAGUAUCAUCAAAUAGUUCGAUCUUGAAACCUGUCAACCUGAUUUUUUAUCUGGAUCGAGUUUCGAAUUAAACUGUAUGGAAACUAAUCUAAAAUGAAUUAUUCAAUUUAAUGGGUCAAAAGAUAACUUGGAUGACCGGUAAAAACAUGACAUAACUUUAAAAAAAAAACUUUAAAAUAAUAAUUUUUUUAUAUUGAGACGGUGCCAGAUUAAAUCAAUCUUGAUCACCCUUCGACCUGAGUUAUGGACUUCAACAGGUUUAAUAACUUUGUUGUUUUUGUAAAAUAUUUUUGUUUAAUUUUAUGAUAAUAUUAGAUGCUUUCAAAAGCAAGUAUCAAUCAUAAAAAAAAACAUUUAUUUGAGAUCGUGAUAACCAUAUAGAAAGUAAAAAAAAAAAAAAAACCAUGAACUCUAUUUCUUAACCAAUCGAAUAUUGAAUAAGAGUGAAAUAAAAAAAAUAAUUAGAAAAAUUAAAGGAUAUGAAACUAAAAAAAAAGCAUAUCAGGUUUGAUGGGUAAACCCACUAAACUCAUGGAUUGGGUAACCCAGGUCAUCACGUCAAACCUGCAAACCGGGUAAUGAACUCUACUGUGAUCAAUAACUUUUUCUUCUAAACUAUUAUUUAUUUAACUAUAUAAUAAUAAAAAUAAACGAUCGCAAAAUCGAGUGUCAAAUCAAUACUAAUUUUUUUUUAAGACUAUGAUAACCUCAUAAGAAGUAAAACAAAAUAAAUUAUAAAAAUAAAUUUUCAAUUAGUCCAAUAUAAAAAAAUAAAAUUAAAAAAAAAAGAAUCAUAAAAAAAGAAGAAAAGUUGAAAUUGUUAUACCCGCUAAUAGGCUCAUGGACUUUCUAAAAUUUAAUAACAUGUUUUUUUUUAAUUUUUUUUUAACUAUGUGAUAAAAAAAAUAGACAAUUACAUAAUCAAAUUCAAUUAUAUAAAAAAAAAUACUCUAUUAAACCCACAAACCAGGAUAACUAGAGUUACCUCGUCAAACUCACAAACCAAGUUAUUAACUCUACAAAGUUUAUUAACCUAGUUUUUUAAAAGUAAUUUUGUAUUUAACUAAAUUUUUUUUAAAAUAGAUUAUACCACACUACUGAAAUAUUUGUUUGAUAUUACAAUAAUCAUAUAAAAGAUAAAUUAAAAUAAAUUAUUAACUCUAAACCCCCUAUAGACAUAUUAUAUAAGGACUAAAUUAAAAUAAUCAAUAAUACAGUUAAAAUACAAAAAAAAAAACACUACAUACACAUACGCAUUACUAUUGUAAUUCACAAAACUAACAUUUUAAUUUUUUUUUAUAAUAAGCUUGAUUUCAUGAUUCAUGUUUUUAUAUUUCUCCACCGUUUUUAGUUAGAAAUUUCACCUAAUUUCAUUUAAUUAAAUGCGACGGUUAUUUUUCCAUUUCCUCUCUCUCUAUCUCUCUUAUAAGAUUGGUUAUUAGAGACUGCACUAGUUGAUAUACACUUAAUGUAUUUAUAUAAAAAGAAUAUAUAUUUACAAAUAUAACUUUUAGAUUUUCUGAU
rnacentral:lncRNA from 1 species